GUUUUCUUAGUUCAGUUCUCUCCCCUCGGAUACUCUGCUCUGUGAACUCAAAUCAUCUUGGCCUCCUCAGACACAACCUUUAUCUCCCUCACUCUGGGAGAGCACGAGUUCCCCCUCACUAUGCUGUGCCCUGGAAACUUGUUCAAGACAGUAAGUGGAACCGUUUUAUGGCUCACCUUGUUUGUUUCUCAUUUCUCAGGGAUCAUUGGCUUUUACUGUCUAAUGUUCAAUAACUUGAGUCAUUGUUUUAUAUAUUUUGCCCAUUUUCUUAGUUGUUUUAGGCAAGAGACUAAAUACAGUCUCUUACAAAGUGGAAGUCUAUUCAGUCUGUAAUUCUUUUUUACUUGUCAUUUAAAAUCAGCAUUGUUAAGGAAAAUAUCUUAACAAAUUACAGAAUAUGUUUUAUGUUUACAAUUCAAGGACUUUAGACAAAUGGGCGCAUACAUAAACACCACCAAAAUCAACACACAAACCAUUUCCAUCAUUCAUGCAAGUUCUCACUCCCCAUUGUAGUUAACCAUCCCUGCAACCCAACCACAUGCAACCACGCAUUUGCAAUCUCUAGUGUAGAUUAGUUUGGAUAGUCUAGAAUUUCAUAUAAAUGGAAUCAUAUAGUACAUACUCUUUUGUCUCUUGCCGUUUUCACUCGGCUAAUGGUAUUAACAUUUAUCCUUAUAUGUAUUAAUAAUUCAUUUUUUUAUUCUUGAGUAUUAUUGUAUCAAAUGACUACAACAUGAUUAUUGAUAGAUAUUUGGUUAUUUCCAGUUUAGGGCGCAACGCUAUUAUUAGUACUUAGAUCUUUGUAUGAUUAUUUACUGAUUUUACCCUUCUAGUUAUAGUUUUUAUUCUGGUACAAAUUCCCCUCUGCUAUUAGCCUGACUUGGAAAAUUUUCUAAUAUCUUAACUUUUUUUCUUGGAACAGAUUUUACAAUUAUCACUGAUAGGGUUUUUAUAACCACUUCACUGCAUUGUCAUUAACAGAAGUUCUUCAGUUAUAAUUCCUGCAUAUAAUUUAAACUAAAUUGAAUUUUAACAUCUAAUUGCAGCUCUUUUCUUUCAUCUUAGACACCAGAGGGUAGUUUAUUUUUUUCUAAAUCAUCAAUCAAAAUAUAGAAAACAAGCUAGCAAGACCUAUAAGCAAAGAUUUUCUAUAAAUGGCUACCUUUAUUUUUUUUCUCUCUUAUAAGAAAGAUAGCUUAGAAUUUGGAGGGCAUUUACAAACUAUAGCCAUUAGUCAUACACUGUUAAUUAUAUCUGCUUUCCCACUAAUAUAUAUAAUUACAUAGCAAUAUCAAAGUUCUUUAUCAACUUUCCUAAUAUAUGGUCUCUCAGGUCUUUGAGCUUUUCCUUCCAUAUACUUAUCACAAUUAUAAGCAUAUUCUUAAUACAACUUCUUUAAAAUUGUAACAGCUUUUCAUAGGCAGUCUUUGAAGUCCACAAAUGAAAGAACUAUUUUGUUCAUUACUAUAUUCCUCAUUACCUAGCACAAAGGUUAGCAUAUAUAGAAUUAUCUGAAUAUCUUGUUUAAAAAUGGUGUUGGGUGCCUGGGUGGCUUAGUUAAGCGUCUGAUUUCCUCUUGAUUUCCUAUUGCAUCAUGAUCUCAAGGUUAGUGAGCUAAAGUCCUGGAUAGGGCUCUGUGCUGACAAUGUGCAGCAUGCUUGGGAUUCCCUCUCUCUCCCUUUCUCCCUGCCCCUCCCUGACUGUGCUCGCUCUUGUGCAUGGUCUCUCUCUCUCUCUCAAAAUAAAUAAACUUAAAAAAAAUGGUCUUAACUAUAUACUUGCCAUAGCACGUUUCCUUGGUAAUAUUCAUGGUCUCUUAAAAGAGACCAUGUUUUCUUUACAAUAUUUUAAAUAUUGUGUUUCAUUAUUAGUAUUCUAUUUCGAUUCUCCCUCACCUUCCCAGGGUCCGGCAUACUAUAAAUUUACCCCUACUAUGUUUUUAACAUUACAAAUCUUCCUCAAGACAGGUAGGGUUGUAUUUCACCAAUAGAAAACACAGAGUACAUACACACAAAAGGGAAGUGUCUAAGAGGCAAGUAAGAGAAAAUAUAGAAAGAUCCAACCUCUUACCGUGACUGUGGCCCUCUGUUGCCGGCCUCCGCUACUCAUUCUUACACAUCAUUGUUCCAGUUCUUUGUAAAGGCGACAUAACCCAACUGUCUAAUAAUAUUCAGAUAAUGAUAGUGACUACAGUUUUCUUCUUUAAGCUGCAGAAAUGAAUAAGGCCUUUAGUUGUACCUGUUUGUGAGUUUGAAAGGGGAGUUUGGGGAAAGAGGGAGAGAAUUUGAAGAGAAGGAUUUCUGGUAUCCUCUAAAUUGCAAGGAAGAAAUAUUUACAAACAAUCUGUCGUGUAUUUUAAGGAAAUUCAUAAUAAGUUGUUGAAGAGAAAACUAUUUUAAUAAAGGUUAUGAAUUCAGUAGGAACAGUGUUACUCUUAGGUUGUUUUCUUUAAAUUACAUAUUAAUAUUAAAGUAUGUUUUCUGGCUUUAAAAAUCCCUCCCUAUAGGCAACUAAAUAAACUAAAGAGGGUUUCACACGCAGUGUGGCACCUGCUUAAUAUUUUCUCUCUUCCUCCUGCCCCUCUCCCCUGCUCGUGUGCUCUCUCAAGAAAAAAAAAAAAUCCCUACAGGCAACCAGACAUAUAGUAUAAUCUUAUUUGUGAUGAAACAUAUGAAAUAUUAAAUAUAUCACAUUUUACAUGUUAUAAAAAAAUAGUAAAUAAUCUUAGUUCUCCUCUUACCCAAAAUAGAGUAUAAUAUAUAAAAGAGAAGCAGUGUACAGUUACAUUUUCCACCCGAUUUAUAACUUUACAUUGGACUGAGUAUUUAAUAUACUCUAUACUCAGGUAAUCAUCUGAACUAUCCCUCGAUUCUUUCUUUUGAUCUCCGCAUCUCCAAUCUUAAUUCAUGUACUGUCACCUUCUUAUCUUUAGCUUUCUUAUUUUUUUCUUAUCUUGAUUGGAGUCUGUUUAAAAUUAAUAAUUUAUAUUUAGAUAAAUGUAUUUCUUGAAAAAUCAUUCUUUUGAAUACUGUAAAAAAGCAUCCUUACAGCCUGGACUAAGACCGUGAUAAUUUUUAGAGUCAUCUUCAGUUUAAAGUAAUUUUGAACCUCUCACAAUUAUCAGGAUUUUUGUUAUUACAUGCAAUAUUCAUAACUUGUUUGAGAGAAUCAUCAAAGUGAUUUUCACAAAAAUAAGGCAACAUUUUCUGUUUUUUAAAUUUUUUAAGUAAGUUUUUUUGGUUAAGUUGAUUUAUUUAUUUUGAGAGAAAGAGAGAGAGAGCACGACAGAAAUAGGGGCAGAGAGAGGGGGAGAGAGAGAAUCCCAAGCAAGCUCCACACCAUCAGAGCAGAGCCUGAUAUCAGGCUGGAACUCACAAACCAUAGAUCAUGGCCUAAACUGAAACCAAGAGUCCAACACUUAACCGAUUGAGCCACCUAGGUGCCCCAUUGGUUUUGUUUUCAAAAUUAGUCACCUUGAGAGUUGACUUCACUUUAUAUUGCCCUAAAACAUCAAACACUUCAAGUUUUCUAUGAAAAACAGAUACAUUUUUAAAGAAGUCAUAUUAAAUAUAUGAAGAUGGCUAAAGAUAAUAUAUUCAAAGUGAAUAAAUUAUUCCAAUUUAUAGGUGGGCAAUUGUUUAUUCAGUGACUUCUUGAAUCUAACUAUUGGGCCUAAUGACAUUUCAGGGGAGUAGAUUUAGGCUAAAUAGAAUACAUUGCCAUAUGUUAUGGAGAACAUUUAGUUUUUAUAAGAUUAUUAGACAUUAAACACGUUAUUGUGGGCUACAUCUGAAUUUCUUCAGGUAGUAUCUAGGAUAAAAAAUUUGCCUUGGCAAAAUUGAUUCUUAGAGUCCUGAUUUAUGCUAAUUUGUGCUGAUCAGUUAGCUGUCUAAUCAUGGAAGUUAUGUUUGCACAAAUCGGUUUUCAGGGACACCUGAGUGGCUCAAUCAAUUAAGCAUACAACUCUUGAUUUUAGCUCAAGUCAUGAUCUCCUGGUUCAUGAGAUUGAGUUCCAUGUUGGGCUCUGAGCUGACAUCAUGGAGCCUGCUUGGGAUUCUCUCUCUCUCGCUGCCCCUUCCCACUCUCUCUCUCUCUCUCUCUCAAAAUAAAUAAAUAAACUUAAAAAAAAAAGUGAUUUUCAGAGUGACCUAGGUUAGCUGUACAUUUUAUUUAUUUAUUUAUUUCAAAAUAAUUUAUAAAUGUUUUGUUAUUACACUGUACUUUUUAUUUUCUUUCAAUUGAUCCUCCAAAUAGGCCUAUGUAUGGGCUUUUCAGAAAAAAAAAUUUAAAAAGUUGUUUGUAUCCUGCUAAAGUGAAGACAGAGUCUUAGAAGGUAUAAGUUACAUUCAAAAUUACAAAGUCCAGGGGCGCCUGGGUGGCUCAGUUGGUUAACCAUCUGACUUUGGUUCAGGUCUUGAUCUCACAGCUCAUGGGUUUGAGCCCCGUGUCAGGCUCUGUGCUGACAGCUCUGAGCCUGGAGCCUGCUUCAGAUUCCGUGUCUCCUUCUCUCUCUGCCCCUCUCCUGCUCGUGCUCUGUCUCUAAAAAAAUAAAUAAACGAUUAAAAAUUAACAAAAAAUAAAAUUAUAAAGUCCAGAUUAUCGUCUAAGGUAGUGUUGUUAAAUAGAUAGAUAUUACAAGCCAAAGUGCAAUUUUAAAUUACCUCAUCACAUAUUAAAAAAGUCAAAAGAAACAGAUAAAAUUCAUUGUUAUAGCGUUUUCCCCCAACAUAUCCAACAUUUUGUUAUUUAAGCAUGUAAUUAAGACAAAACUACUAAUAACAUGUUUAUAUUCUUUUUUUUACUAAAUCUUCAAAAUCCAAUGUAUAUUUUACACAUAAAAUAUAUCUCAGCUUAGACUAGUCACAUUUCAAGUACUAAAUAGCUACAUGUGACUAGUGACUACCCUACUGGAUAGCACUUAGGUAAUAUUUCAGAUUCUUAAACAAUUUUUUCCUCAAUGCAAUGGUGUUCUCUUUUUUAUAUACUCUAUAUCCGUGCAAUCAUCUGAAUUAUCUCUCGAAUCUUUCUUUUGAUCUCCACAUCUCCAAACUUAAUUCAUGUCACAUCAUCUUCACUCAAGUUAGUGCAGUAACUUCCCCAGUCACGUGAACUUCCUUCCUGUACCAUUCAUCCACUCUAUAUUCUUAUGCCCCAAUGACCUUCUUUAUUUGUGUACUUGACCAUAUCAUCCUCUGAUUUACAGUAGAGACCCGUACUUUUGUCUUAAUGUGAGGUAGGACCAAGGCUUAUACAUUUUUUAAACGUUCUCUAGAUAAUUUUGAUUACUGGCUAAAUUGUGAGAAUAGACACUAUUUCCUCUCCAUAGUCACAGACUGUGGUAAGUGUCAUUAUUUUGACCUAUUUGAAUACCUUACAAUUUUCUAAUAACUGUUGGUUUUGUGAUACCCAGGGCUGAUCCUAGCACUGAAUGCCGGCUUUGGCACAUGGUAAUGUAUUGUUAACAAAUAAAAUAUAUGUUUGGAAAUCUUUUAAUUUAUUCCCGUAACAAAAUUAUUUCAGUCAGUUCAUAGUAAAACCGAUGCUAAAUGCAUCCACAUUGGUUUCUAAGUUGAUUUUUUCAAUAAUUUUUUUCUCUCAUAAAGGAUAUUAUGAUAUUAGACUAAUUGGAAUUAAUCAACUCUGAAUUUGAAUCUAUAAUUUCCAUUACAUUUAAAGUAUGAUUAUGAAGGAGUAUUAAAGUAUGAGUUUAAAGUAUGGAUAUUCAGACAAAAUAGGUCAACCUAUCUAUGUUUUUAUAUUGAAAUGCAGAAAACGAGAUUGCUGGAGAAAAGUCAUAGAACUAUUUUUUCUUAAUAAAUCACUGUUUAUGUAUUAUCAAAUUCUUUAAGAUGUGACUAACAAUUUUUGUUCUAAAGCAGAAAUAUAUCCCUCCAGACUAUAUUUUCAUGGGAUAAGGGGAUUUCCAACCCACUCUUAGUGGAAAAAAUAUACAUUUAUACACAUAGUGUCAAAAUUAGAUUAUUCUUUGGUAAAAAUUAAAAAGAAAAUUAUCACCAAAGGGGAAAAUGUUUAAAAAACACUAUUAAGUUUUCAGCUAUGAUCAAAGUUAAAAUAAAUAAAUGUGUCUCUGCAGGCAUUAAGCUGUAUCUUCAAACUGCAUACAAAAUGAGAGCAACCUUAGGGAUUUUUUCCAAUGAAAAAGACCCAGUAAUGGGAUAAAAAUGGAAAUGGACUUUAUACAUACUUCCCAAGGCUUAUAUUUGAUAUGACUUUAUAAGGAAUUUAGUAAGAUGAAAUAAAAUGGCGAGAUCAAAGCACGCACACACAGAAAAGGAUUUCCUGCUAUGAAGCAUGUAAAUUGGCAUGAUGUGGCUAAUAAAAAUUCUUAUUUCUUAGGAUCCUUAAAUUGUGCCUCAAGAAAAAAAUUAAGCAUUAGAUUUGAUUAAUGUGAACAAAUAAUUCAAACAUUUUGAUUAAAGUAGGCAAAGUACUUAUUUUAAGUCAUUUUUAAAAAAACUUCUCUUGUGCUCGCUUCGGCAGCACAUAUACUAAAAAACUUCUCUAAAUAUGAUGUCUUUUCCACAGAAUUUUUGGAAUUGUGUCAACGUGUCACUGUAUGUUAGAAGCUGCAGUGUCUCUUGUUCUGUGUGACUGUAGUCAUCUCCACUCCAUCCAUUGAUGGUUCUGCUCCUGCGACACUGGCUUUUCAAUUCCUCAAACACACCAAGCCUAUUCUUAUAUUGAGGCUUUAUAUGCAGUGUCCCUACCAUCUAUAAUAGAUUUUCCUCCAUUCUUUACAAGAUGGGUGACAUCUUAUUUUUAGGUCUCAGCUUAAAUAUUACUUUUCUAGAAAAAUUACUUUUAUCAUACAAACAGGUUAGUCUCUAUUAUUUCUUUUUCUUUCUUUUUUUUUUUUUUAAUUUGAGAGUGGUUGACACACAGUGUUACAUUACUUUCAGGUGUACAACAUAGUGAUUCACAUUUUCUAUAAGUUAUGCUCUGCUCAUCACAAGUGUAGCUACCAUCUGUCACCAUACAACCCUCUAUUAUUUCUAUCUUAGUAGUAGGUUUGUUCCCUUUUAUAGCUUUUCACAGUCUAUAACUCAUUUACUUUUGUUUGAUUACUUGCUCAUUUGUUCUUGCCUCUCCCUAUACUAAAGCAAAAUGUCUGUUCAUUAAUCAUUUCAUGUUAGUGCAUAGGAUAGUGACUGUCACAACAUUAGCACCUGAUACAUAUUCGUUGUCUGAUAUGAAUAAAUAAAUAAGUCACAAUAUUAAGUUAAUGUAAUGUAUUUCAGUGUGUUUACGAUUAGUUUUAAGAAAAAUUUAUAAUUUCACUUUUAUAAUGUGGAAAUAUUUAUCAAAACUCUAGUGAUUCAAAUGAGGAAGAUUUUAAUUGCAACAGAGUCUAAAGGUUAGUAUUAGUCAUAGUUUACCAAAAAUAACCUAAAAAUUUUUCAGAUACAGUGAAAGCAAUUUGCAUGAGGAUAAUCAGAGCACCCAUGAAAUUAAAACCUUUUUCAAAGUGCAAAUAGAAUAAAAACUUCAAAUUUUCUGUUUUCAACAUAUAGUUAAAAAAAUUAGGAAAAUGAAACAUUAGAGAUUUUAAAAGAUAAAAGAAUGGUAUGCAAGAUUGCAAGCUUUUACACCAAAAUUAAACUAUAAAGCCACUCUUAUGGUUACCUGAGAUCAUGAGAUUACUUAAUUAUGUAUAUUAACGAUGUGGUUUAAGUUUGGUGGACAAUUAUGACACUUCUGAGCUAACUUGCCUGCUUCUACCUUUAGCCCUUCACAGUCUGUUCUUUAUAUAAUAGUCAGAGUGAUCCUUUUAAAACUUAAGUCAGAUCACAUGUCCAUUAUUCUAUUCAAAACCCACCUCAUGCACAGUAAAUGCCAGGGUUCUUAUGAUGAUCCACAAAUGUUUUCUGUACAGGACCGGAUGGUAGAUAUUUUAGGCUUUGUGUGUCAUAUGGUUUCAUCAUAGCUACUCAACUCUGCCCUUGUAGUGUGAAAGCUGCCAUUGAAAAUACAUAAAUAAAUGGGGCGCCUGGGUGGCGCAGUCGGUUAAGCGUCCGACUUCAGCCAGGUCACGAUCUCACGGUCCGUGAGUUCGAGCCCCGCGUCAGGCUCUGGGCUGAUGGCUCGGAGCCUGGAGCCUGUUUCCGAUUCUGUGUCUCCCUCUCUCUCUGCCCCUCCCCCGUUCAUGCUCUGUCUCUCUCUGUCCCAAAAAUAAACAAACGUUGAAAAAAAAAAUUAAAAAAAGAAAAUACAUAAAUAAAUGGGCAUUGCUAUAUUCCAAAAACAUUCUAUUUAGGAAAAAUAAGCACCGGGUUAGAUUUAAAUGCUAGGUCAUAGUUUACCAACCCGGGCCUCUCCUUCUGCUUCUCCCCACCCACACUCCAAAUUUAUUUGUCGUUCCUUUUCCUCUCAUUCAUUCUGCUCCGGUCACUCUGGUCUUCUUACUCUUCCUUAAAUAUGCAAAACACAUUCUUCUUUUAUCUCAGGGCCUUUAAAUUGCUGAUUACCUUGUCUUGGACACUGUUCCUUGGGUCAUUUCUUAUUUCAUUGAAGUCUCUGCUCAAAUGUCAUCUCCACAGAGAGGCUUCUCUAAACACCUUAGAUAAAAUGAGGAUAAAAUGAUAUCCAGUCAAGCACCUCUAUCUGCCAUAUCUGUUUUUUCUCUCUCUCCAUAUGUGUGUGUGUGUGUAUAAAAUAUUUAUAUAUGAGGGAAUAUAUAUUGAAUAUAUAUAUUAAAUAUUUUUUUUAUUUUUUUAAAAUCCAUUUUUGAGGGACAGAGAGAGACAGAGUGAAUGGGGGAGGGGAGAAUCCGAAGCAGGCUCCAGGCUCUGAGCUGUCAACAUAGAGCCCAACAUGGAGCUUGAACUCAGACCACAAGAUCAUGACCUCCACUGAUGUCAGACACUUAAAUGACUGAGCCACCCAGGCGCCCCUGUAUUAAAUAUUUUUAAAAUUUGGUUAUCUUCUGUCUUCUUCUUUUAGAAUACAAGCCCUAUGGCAGGGGAGAAUUUGGUAUUUUAACAUUUUUUUGCUAUAACACCAUUGCCCAAUUGACACUGUUUUAACAUAUAAUAAGGACUCACUAAAUAGUUGCUAACUGAUGAUUAAAUUAACUUUUUCCCCCCAAAAUACCUUAUCUGUAAUUUGCUCUAAAUAUAAACUCUAUCCCUAAAUAUGUUAUGAAACUGUGGCUUAUUUUUCCCUUUAACAUUAAUUUUUGUGUGUGUGUGAUUUAGAGGUAUUUGAGAACAUUUAUGUAUCACAGCCUCCUGCUUUCACCCUAAUGUCUUCCUUGUUGAUUCUAUUUUCUUCCACAAUUCAUAAAGAUGAUACCUCUGGUUCAGGAGGUAUUUUAAUCUUUGAAAAUGAAAAAAAAACCCCAUAACUAAAUAAGUCAAUAAAUACAUUGCAUGGAGUUGGUGGUAAGUGUUACAAAGAAGCAAAAGGGAACACAAAGUAUUGGUAAAUGGUCAGGGAAAGUCUUUCUGGUAGAUGACAUUUAAGUGUAGACCUGGAGGAGUAGAAGAACAUGAUAGACACAAGAAAGGGCAAACAAGUGCAAGGCCAGAAGGUAUGAAUAGAUUUCGUGUGCUAGGAAGAAAGAGUGCUGUGGAUUUAAUUGUGCCUCCCCGCCCCACCUUAAAAAGUGUUGAAGUCCGAAUCCUCUAUACUUCAUAUUGUGACCUCAUUUGUAAAUAGGGUCAUUACAAAUGUAAUUAGUUAAGUCAACAUGAAGACAUACUACAGUACAAUGGGCCCUUAAUCCAACAUGACCGAUGCCCUUAUGAAAAGAGAGAAGAUGAUGUGAAGACUGUCACACAGGAAGAAGAAGGCUAUGGGAAGGUGAAGACAGAGACUGGAUUUAUGUUGCCACAAGCCAAGGAACACCUGCAGCCACCAGAAACUAGGAAGAGGCAAAGGAGGGUUCUUCCUUUACAGGUUACAGAGGGAGCAUGGCCCUGUUGCAUCACUGAUUUCAGACUUCUAGUUUCCAAAACUAUGAGACAAUAAAUUUAUGUUGAUUUAAUCUACCUCAUUUGUGGUACUUUGCUAUUGUAGCCCUAUGAAAUUAAUGCAAGCAGGUGGGUCAACAUACCUGCAGAGGAGUAAGUAAACAGAAAAUAAUUUGGAAAUGUUGUUUAUAAUUUUACAGAUGAUUUAAAUUCAGGCUAAAAUAUAUUUACAGUACUAAGAACAUACUAUUUUCUUUGUAAAUUGCUGAAGGUGAUAACAAAGAAGAAAAUCAGACAACCAUGCUAAUAUAAAUUGAAGAUAGAGAUAAUGUUAAAGAUUUUUCCCUCUAAGUGUUUAAUGCAAAAACAAAACAAAAACCCUAAUACACAGCAAAUACAUGAGAAGACCCAACAUAUAGAAAGAAUAUACCAGGAUUCUCAUUCUAGUGGGAAGGUUCAAAGUCUAGAACACAUGAUUUAGUCUUCUACAUAACUGCAGUGCUCAGGGAAAAUUCCGUAAAAAAGAAUAGAGAAGUAUUUAUAUCCUCUAUUUGAUUAAAGGAGAUAAGAAGAAAACUAAGGAGGAACAAGGAAGUAGGACCUUUUACCCCUGGAACAUUUUUAUUUAAAAUGUAAGCUCAUCCACUAGUAAAGGUCUUCACUUUUAGCCAACCUUCUUGAAACAAACUACAGUCCACCUGUAUUAGUCAGAGUUCUCCAGAGAAAGAGAACAAUGUAUAGAUUUAUUAAAAGGAAUUGGCUCACACAAUUAUGUUGACUAAGAAGUCUCAAGGUCUGCAGUCAAUCAGUCACACACCCAGGGGAGCCAAUGUGAGUCAGAAGGCCUGAGAAUCAGAAGAGCUGAUGGUGUUGUUCUGGUUGCAAGCAGACAGGCUCAUGACCUAAGAAAAGCCUGAAGUCAGAAAGUGGUAGUGUCCUGGCUCAGUAAACAGGCAAGAGGAGUUUCUCUUCCUCAGCAUUUUGUUCUAUUCAAAUCUUCACUUGACUGGGUGAGGCCUACCCACAGCAUGGACAGCAAUCUGUUUUACUUCGUCCACUGAUUCAAAUUUUAAUCUCAUCCAGAAACACUCCCACAGUUGCACCCAGAAUAAUGUUUGACCAUUUGGUCACGUGUGGCCCAGUCAAGUUGGCACAUGAAAUUUUAAAAAUUAACCAUCACACUAUCUUUAUUUUUAUUCUUAAAAAACAUAUUUUGUUGUUGUUUUCCAUUUUAAACUUCCUAUUCAGCCCAUUUUGGUCUGGUUUAUUUCCUAUGAUUACAAUGAAAUGACAUCUGUCACAGUAAACAUUGAAUUCUUACAACAAACUCUUAUCAGGCAUUUUUCUGUUCUCUUACUUGACAUUUCUGGAGUAUCUGACUUUGAGACUGUUCUUUCCUUUGAGACAUGUCACCUUGCCUUGGCUUCUGUAGCUCCUUAUUUCCAUGGCUCUUCUCUUACCUCUUUAGCUUCUCUCCCUUACUGAAUCUUUUUUUUUUUAAAUUUUUUUAACGUAUUUAUUUAUUUUUGAGACAGAGAGAGACAGAGCAUGAACGGGGAGGGGCAGAGAGAGAGGAAGACAGAAUCGGAAGCAGGCUCCAGGCUCUGAGCCAUCAGCCCAGAGCCCAACGCGGGGCUCGAACUCACGGACCGCGAAAUCGUGACCUGAGCUGAAGUCGGACGCUUAACCGACUGAGCCACCCAGGCUCCCCUACUGAAUCUUAUUUUAUUUUAUUUUAUUUUAUUUUAUUUUAUUUUAUUUUGAGAGAUUUAUUUAUUUAUGUAUUUAUUUUGAGAGAUUUAUUCAUUUGUUUAUUUAUGUACUUAUUUAUUUUGAGAGAGAAAGAGAGAGAGGAACAGGCAGGGGAGGGGCAGAGAGACAGGAAGAGAGAGAAUCCCAAGCAGGCUCCACACUGUCAGUGCAGAGCCUGAUGUGGGGGCUCAAACUUGUAAAUCAUGAGAUGGUGUCCUGAGCCAAAAUGAAGAGUCAGACAUUAACCUGGCUGAGCCACCAAGGUAUCCCUCUUACUGAAUUUUUUUUUCUGGUUUCUCUUCUUCUGUCCAAAUUCUAAAUUCUCUGUAUUCUCAAGUAUUUUUCUUUGUUUCACUUCUUUCUCAUUGUAAACUUUCCAUGAAUUAUGUAUUCCAUGUCGGUGACUUUUAAUGCCCUGUGACUCAACUUCUUUCUCUCAUUCAGAGACUAUGUUGAGUUCUAGAUUUAUCUUAAACACAACACAAAAACUAAACUAAAAUGCUGGGACAGAGUUUGAGAGGGAGAAGUCUAUGAGUCCUUUAGGUAUCAGCAAACUCAGGAGUAAAAGAAGCAUGAAUCACAGAAGUUGGGCUGCAAGACAGUGAGGAAAAGCGUCAGCUGACUCCACAUGCCGAAGCUGGCAUAAUUCAAGAUGCAGGGCAAGGGUUGGGUGUAUACACCCUGACAUCAAUCAGUCAUUGGACUCAGGACGCUGUCAAGAAGAGGAUGUGACUUUGUGCAAAUUUUGUUCUUUUUAGUCUAGGACAUUCUCUGGAGUGAAUCUUGAUUAUAAUCUGUCAGUCAGCAACUUUCUUAACCACUGGGUAAAUGAGUUCUUUCUUGAAAGGGAUGGGAGUGAUCUGGAUAACACUGUGCACAAACCAGUCUCUCUAAUGAAAUCCUUACCUCAGUAAAUAGCAUUAUCCUAAUACCAAGAUAGAAACAAGAAGUCUCCCCUCUCCCUGAACUGUUUCUUCUCUUUCAAGUUGGAAACAAAACUGCUUCAACUUUCCCCUCCAGAAUUUACUUGGGAGACUUUCUACUAUAUAAUUUUCUAUAAUAUGUCUCUCAUUGAGAGUUCUCUUGCCAAGACCUUUAUCAAGAUCAUGGUUAUAUCACGUUGGAUAAUUUGAUUUUUUAAUUGGUCUACCCUCCAAUGGUCAUUACUAACCACCAUUAAAACAUAAAUAUAGAAUUUAUCUUUUACAAAUAUACUGGAUAAUUUUGUCUCGGUUCACUAUAAAUUACAGACACUUGUUUACAGGUCUGCUUUAAAAGCACACAAUAUUGGGGUGCCUGGGUGGUUCAGUCUGUUGAGCCUCCGACUUCGGCUCAGAUCAUGAUCUCUCAGUCCGUCCGUGAGUUCCAGCCCGGCAUCGGGCUCUGUGCUGGCAGCUCGGAGCCUGGAGCCUGCUUUGGAUUCUGUGUCUCCCUCUCUCUCUGCCCCUCCCCUGCUAAUGCUCUGUCUCUCUCUGUCUCAAAAAUAAAUAAAAACAUUAAAAAAAUUAAAAAACAUACAAUAUUUACAUUAUAUUUGAAGAAACAUCUAGUAAUAAGCAGGUUGUAUGAUAAACAUCUGCUAAUUUUCCUGGUUAACUUAUGUUCAUGUUUCUUAAGAAAAGGACAGAAGAAACUAUAGAUAUUAAACAAUCUCAGCAUUUUACCCUUAUAAAAUAUAGAAAAUAACUUCAUACCAGAAACUUCGUACAACAAUUUAUUGCAAUCACCACAACAUGUCACAGAGCUGUCUGUUGAAGGUGUGGUUUGAUAGGUCCACCUUGAAACUAACCUACCUGAGAGAACUAAGAGCCUUCUGGACAAAAAAAAAAAAAAAAAAAAAAAAAGGCAGAAAAUAGUCCCUAAUAAGUGAUUGGUCUAAAAUAAUGGUUUGGUGACUAUAUGCAUGAUUCAAAAUAGGGAGGGAGAUAUGGAAGGGAGAGAAAUGAAGGGGUAUUUUUGUACCUCAUUAAAUUUGUUCACUUUUCUAUGGAAUUAUGCCUGAGUUCAAAGGAGGACAUCAAAAAAAUUAAAAAAAAUUGUUCAGAAUUGUGUACUUCUGUGAACUAAAUGUUAUCUGUUUUAAAUACAAAUAAAUCAGUAUUUUUAAUGACACAAAAUACGAAGAGAUUAAGUACAGAUUUGUAUAGUUUAAAGAAUUGUUGGGGCACCUGGGUGGCACAGUCUGACUUCAGCUCAGGUCAGUCUGACAGUUCAUGAGUUUGAGCCAUGCAUCAGGCUCUGUGCUGAUAGCCCAGAGCCUGGAGCCUGUUUCAAAUUCUGUGUCUCCCUCUGUCUCUGCCCCUCCCCUGCUUGUUCUCUGUCUCUCUUUCUCUCAAAAAUAAAUAAACAUUUAAAAACAUUAAAAAAAAAAAAAAGAAUUGGCAGAGCUAAAGAAACAGCAUCUAAGCAUCCAAAAUUAUUCUAAAAAUCAUACCACAAAACUGAAUUGCCAGGAGAGCGGCUUACUCUGCCACAACCUGGAAGCUUCCAAGGCAACUUCAGCCUUAAUGAUUAUGCUACUUCUGCCAUCAUCCAUGCCAAGAAACGUGGGCUUUCAUGUUCUGCCUUUCUCCCAGUUUCAUUUAUUUAUUUAUUUUUCUCCCAAAUUCAUUUAUUUCCAAAUCAGUGUCUCGCAUGACUUACCCAAGCUAAGUCACAUCUGGAACUGUGUCUGCAGAGCUUCCUGAAAAAUGACUCUAGUUUUCUAGUCUCUGAAAUUUGAAGGCACACUAGGGUGAAGUUAGUGUCUGGUGCAACUCCCCAUCAUAUCUGUUACAGCAUUUUUUUUUUCUCAUACAAAAUAAUCUGUGAGAUUCUGGAAACACAAACCAGCAUGGCUUUUGAUCCAAUGUGCCAGAGACAGCACAAAGUCAUAGUAAAGAGAUUCUUGUGUUUCAGUGGAAAGCAACACACAAAUUUGAAGGGAAUGAAUAAACAGUAGCAAUAGCACCCACAUCAGGAGGCUGUUGUGUAAGUGUCCUCAAAAGCACAGAAACACCAUAAAAUUUAAAAACAGACAGAGGCAAUUCCAAUUGUGGGAGUAUUUUGUUUUCUGAUGUUGGUGGUACAGGCAGAAGUGAGGUGCAUUUAUGUGGUUUCCUCUGGCAGAUUAACUCAUUCAUUAACAGGCUAAAAUGACUUGCUUUUGAACGUACCAGAUGAAGCUAUGCGUAAAAAAGAAUACAAGUAAAAAAUAAGGGAAACUUAUAGUAGGCCUACGGACUACUCUGAUAAGGUUAAUAAUAAAGAAAACACUAAUUCUUAGUGGUUUGUACAUGUUCCGGAAAUAGAAAUUUUCCUAAUUCUUCCAUGCUUUGUGGCCAACAGCUUACAUAAGAAUCAAUGGCUUCAGAAACAUUGACAAGACUUUAAAAACAAAUGAGAGUCAUUUGACAAGUAAAGCUAUGAGUUAUUUUAAACAACUACUGGAACCUCAUAUUAAAACUUAAGAGAAGGAAUGGAAGAAAGAAAGGAAAGGAGGAAGGAAGGAAGGAAGGAAGGAAGGAAGGAAGGAAGGAAGAUGAAAAGACUACAGAAUCUCAGAAGAGGAAAAGUCAUGUACUUUUUAAGUAACUAAUAAUGCUAGCAGGUAAAAAUAUAGUCAGUAAAAUGCUAAGAAAAUAUAUAGUUCAAUAUAUGGAAAUUGUUCCAUCCUCAAACAGUAUAAUAAGGUGAUAUAUUGAUGGCAUGCAACAUAUGCUGAAGAGAUUUAUGUGAAACACCUCUAUAUUGAAGAUGAUGAGUGAACAGAUUUCCCCAGGAAAUGUCUUGCAUUUACAAGAUUUGUAAAUCAUGGUUAAAUUCAAUAAAAUAUUUUCUGCUGUGAAAGCCAGUGGAAAUAAAUAAUGACCAAGAUAUAUUUAAAAUGUGGCCUUCAUAUCUGGAAAUAAAAAUAUGUGUCAGCAUCUGUACAGAUAGUACCACAUCAAUGAUUGGUUUUAUUAAGGGUUUCACUUCUCUUGCAAAAAACAAACGAAAAAACCCUCACAUCACAUUUUUCACAGAGAGGUGCUAUUGUCAAAAAUUCUUGGAAAUGAAAUAUUUCUUGAGGAUGUUACAAAAUGGUUUUUUAAACAAAGAUGAGUUCACUAAGAGCACUUAAAGAAGUACAUGAAAACUUUGACCAAGAACAUAUAAAUCUUGUGCAGCACACAGAAAUUUGGUAGCUUGGCCAAAGAAGAGUUCUCAAUGAGGUGUUUGAGCUGCAAGGUAAAUUGGAGAAGUCAUUUUCAUAAAAGUAACAUCAGGUUUUGAUGAGUAUUUUGAAGAUGAGGCAUGAUUGCAGAAAUUAGCUGACUCUCAGAUAUUUUUCAUCACAUGAACUUAUGGAAUAAGGACCCAGUGUCAUGUGGAAUAUGUUUUGCCUUUGAAUGACUACAGUCAUUGCUUUAAAAGGAAACUUAAUCUUUGGGCAAAUCAUUCUUCAAAGGAAAUGUUGAAGUGUUUCCAGUUUUUCGGACUUGAUAGGGAGGGAAAAUAUCAGAAUAUUCUAAAUAUUAUUGAAAACCACCUGAAGGAGCUACAUAUCAAAAUCGAAGAGAAUCAUUCCCUGCUUUCAAUACAAGUGAGUGACUGGGAGAGGGACGUCUUAUCUAAAUCUUCUGUUCAAUCAGACAGUGGACUUUAGCAAAGAGGAAGAACUUUGUGAGCUGAAGGGUCCUCAUUCACUGGAGAUGAGAUUUGCUGAUCUUUCCUAGACAAAGUCUGGAUUUCUGUUCUGCCAUUAGUAUGAAAGCAGUAAACAUUUUGCUGAAGUUUUCUGCAACUUGUAUAGGCGAACAGGCUUUUUUAUUUUCUUUUAUUUUGUUUAGUAAGAAUCAUGAGCAAGGACAGAAAUCAUUUCAUUUAACUUGAAAAUGAAAUCUGUGUGUGUUAACCCAAAUUUGACCCCAAUUGAGUACUUGUAGAGAAAAAGGAAUUUCUUGUAGAGAAAAAUGAAUAAUUCAUAUUAAUAAGUUUUAGUUCAUUUUUAUUUUUAGUUUCAAAAAUAACUUUGAAUUUAUAUAUGCAUCUAUGAAAGGCUACACAUGUCUAUAAUAAUUUUGUACUGCUAAAUUGCUACUUGAGCCCCAACAUGUCCCUUAGUAUAAAAAUAUUGAUUGGCAUAUGACUUGUGUCAAAUUUGCCACAGUCUAUACAUUUUAAUUGAAGCUGCUUUGGUUUAGUUUUUGUAGUUCUGCUAUUCAAAAUGAUAAAAAAAUGUUAUAAAUAAAAUUAAUUAAAAUCAAUUUAUGAUUUUUAUAUAAAUUUAUUCUCUUGAGUCUUUCAAAAAAAUUAAAUCCCAUUUUGACUUACCAUAGCCAUUAACCAAAAUGUGUUGUUUGCCUUAUGCAUUUAUAAAAUUUAUGAAAAAGAAAGAAGUUAAUAAAAAAAAUAACUAUAAGUGCCUUGUGGGGGAUGUUCUUGAAAAAUUGACUAAAACCCACUUAUUUAAUAUAAAAAAUAGUCCAAAAGAUACCAUGUAACAUAUGUCAUGUACCACAAUAAUCUUGUGGAAUAGAAAUUUAUAAUAUGACAAUUAGGCCUAUUUGGAUGAGAAAAAUGGAUUUAAAAUAGAAAAUUUGUUUGAAAAACAAAAAUUAAGAAAAAAAACCCUGAAGAUAUUUUUACCAGCAUUUUUGACUUUCAUUGGAAUUGAUGUCCAUGGUGGGAAUAGAGAAUCAUAUAAAUAAAGUAUGCCAAUAAACUGGCCAAAAUAAACAGAUUCACAGAAAAAAAAAUUCCCUUCACUAUUAUUGUUGGGUUAUAAUCUCUAUAAUUUAUUGAUCACACUAAUGCAUAUAGGCAUUAUAAUUUUGUGCAAGGGCUAAAAAUAUUUAAAUGGCUCCUUCAGGGUAAAAAUAUUAAAGGAAGCUGAUAUCCAAUAUGUAAUAUUUAUUCUGAGCUUUAGUCAUCCAUGAUUUUUUUCAAUUAAAAAUAUUACUAACUGAGAAGGUAAAGCUCAUGAAUACAUAAUCAAUAUAAAUAAAUAUAUUACAGUAGUUAUUUUUUAAUGUUGCAUAGUAUAUACCCUCUUGCUAUAUAAGAAAAAAAUUGUAUUUUAUUUUUUUAAGUGUAUUUAUUUUAUUCUUGAAAGAGAGAGAGCACAUGUGGGAGGAGCAGAGAGAGAGGGAGAAAGAGAAUUUCAAGCAGACUUCUUGUCACCACAGAGCUUGGCGUGGGGCUCAAACCCACGAACUGUGGAUCAUGACCUGAUCUGAAACCAAAAGUUGGACGCUUAAUCUACUGAGCCACCCACAGGCCCCAGAAAUGGAUUUUAAACAAUCUUACAUGGAAGACUAGUUAGCAUUUCGUAAGUCUAUAAUUUCUGAAUGAGAAGGGGAUCUAUAACCUGUUGUAACAAAGAUGAAAAGCUUCCAGAAUCUCUUGUGUUAAAAAUACACAAUCAAACAAGUAAACAAAUAGUACUUCACAGUGUGAAAUUCGCCUCAAAACAAAUAAGACCACAUAUGUUAUUUUUGAUCCAUGAAAUUAGAGGAAGAAAUGCCAGUAGACACAGAAAUCAUGUUUGAAAGACAAAUAUUGCCUAAGAUUUCACAAGGAUUAAAAAUAAAAACAAAAAUAAGAAAGACCAGACAGGAAAGGGAGUGGGUUGUCUGAAAUGGCACAGCUGUCUCCAGAGAAGUUGCAAGUUUUUCAUUAUCACACAGUCUUUAACAGCCAAAAUGUGCAUCUCAACAUGAAAAUCACACAGCCCUCUAAAUACAGGAUGGGAAGCAAUUUCUCACUCCAAAACUCUGCCUUUGAAAAGCUACCUAUUAAACAAUUUGAGUUCUAGAAAUAGAGAAUGUGUGUUUGUUGUUGGCUCAGGCUCUGCUUUAUUUCUCCAAGGUCAGACUUUAAAAAAAAAAAAAAGGAUUAAAGGGACACUGAGGUGACUCAGUUAAGCAUCGUACUCUUGAUUUUGGCUCAGGUCACAAUCUCAGGUUUCGUGAGUUUGAGCCCCGCAUCAGGCUCUCUGCUGUCAGCAACAGAACCUGCUUCAGAUCCUCUGUCCCCAGUUCUCUCUCCACCCCUCUCUGGCUCAUGCUGUCUCUCUGUCUUCCUCUCUCUCUCUCUCAAAAAUAAACAAACAUUUAACAAAUAAAAUUUUUAAAAGGCAUUAAAAUCAACAUUACAGCCAUGGAACUUGAAAAUCUGUUACUAUAAGAAAGUAGUAUACAUGGAAGAGAAUCCUCAUGUAUAAAUCCAUAUUAAUUCUAUUAAAAUAUGUACAUAAUUACAUGGAACAUAAUUUUACAAGUUGUUUGAGAACCUAUUUUAUCUUUGUCUGGUAAUUAAUUCUUUGGAAGUACCACAGUCAGAGUUUUUUCCUCAAUGAGAAAAGCUUCAUCCAUACAUACCUACCACCUUUUCAUUCUCAUGGUUCCAGGUGACUAUAAAAAUCACAUAUGGCUGGUAUUGUAGGAUUAGAAUAUAAAGGGGCAGAUACAAUUUCCUUAGCCACAUGGCUAAUGAAAACUCCUUCCUCAAAAUGAAAUUAUACUCCUCUUCCUCCAGUCUUAAAGUAUUUACUUGUUCAGUUGGUGUGAGUAUCAACCACUAAAAGGCAAACGGGAGUGGAGGCAAACGGGAGUGGAAAAGUGAGAAAUUUUGAAGAGAAAGAAUAAAGGAAAAGGAAGAAAUAAAAAAUGGAGUGGAAUAUUUGCCCCCAUUGUGACAAACGUCAACUAACAAGACUCUUUCCUUUAGGAUUACUAACAACUACUCUUCAUUUUUAUUUUAGAUGCUGUUUAUUACUUGCAUCCUGGUAACAUGGUAAUCCUAAAACUUCAAGAAAUAUUCUCCAAAAUGCUGAAUAUGUCUGGAAUUAGUAAGUAAAACCAAAUGUUAUAAAUGUGUAGCUCAUUAUCAUAUAAUUUGCAUAAUGGUGAAGAUCAAAUCUGAUGACAUGUAUCCACAUACCAUUAAAAUCUGCUAUGAUUAGCUUAACUAUUACUAGUUUUAGUAUCAUUUCAUGCCUAUGGCACUAUAAAGAUGACCAUAACAUAUAAAUAUACUCUAUUCAUUUGAAUGCCCUAAUCAGAAUAAUGAAAACAACCCAAACUCAGUAGAUUUACAGUGGGGGAUAGGAGAGAAUACUAAAAACUCUCAGGCAAUAAUGAUGCAUCUUAGUUUUUGAACGUUUUAUUAAGAUACAGUUUAUGUACCAUAAUAUUCACCCACUUAGCUGAACAAUUCUAUGGCUUUUCGGUAUAUUUACAGAGCUGCACACCAUAACCAUAAUCUAAUAUUAAAACAUUUUAUUUAUAACACAAAGAAAUCUCAUAACCAUUUAGCUGUUGCCCCAUUUCUACCCCUACAGAAACCCCAGGAAAGGACUAAUAUACUCUCUGUCUUUAUAGAUUUGUCUAUUCUGGACAUAGGAUCAUAUAAUAGAUAGUUUCCCAUCAGCUGCUUCCACUUAGCGUUAUUUUUGGAGGUUUAUCUAUGUUGUAGACUGUAUGUGCACUGUAUUUUUUAUUACUAUAUUCUUUAUUAUUAUUAUUAAUAUUAUAAAUUAUUACUAAACAUCCUUCCCUAUCUAUUUAUGUGGAUUAUUUUCACUUUUUAGCUAUUAUGCAUAAUCCUGAAUAACAGUUACCUUGAAGAAUGAAACAAUAGUAAAUUGAUAAAUAGACAUAUGCUGGCCAUCCUGGAACAGAACCUUGUUUCCCAAGAAAACUGUUACAAAGACACAAAUCAAGGUUAUAUUAAGAUAUAGUUGAACUUUCACUUGAUAUGAUCCAGUUUCUCAUUUUAUAAAGCAUAUGGACAUAAUGUUAUUUGUCAAAGUCUUUAUUUUCUUACCAAUUAUUUGGUGUUACACUGGACAUCUGAGAAUUUAACUUUUAGGCUAGAAUCUAAUAUUUUUCUGAAUCCUUGAUUCUAUUAAUAGUGUCAAAGUAUAAUUUUCAAAAGUUAAAGACAUCAAACUCAUACAAAUAUAAAACCUGUGUGUGUCAAAGUUGUACUUUACUCAUGAAUGAGGGAACAAUAAAAUAGUAAAAGUGGUUCUAAGGGCAUUUUAGAAACAUAAUUUAUAGGCAUUAGGAAAAGAAGAAUGUUAGAAUUAAGAUUCUGUCAGAUACUAAGCUAAGGGCAAUAAAAUCAUAACCUUGGGGAUUGUUACUUUUUUUCCACGACAAAAAUCUUUAGGUUAACGAAACAAAUCUGUUAUCUUGACUUUAAUCAGCAUGUAAAUAAAAAGUCAAACACUGGUAAAUUUUCCUGUAGAAUAAAAUAAUUCAUGAAAAUGCCAUUGUAGGACAUUAAAAAAACAUCCUGACACAUUUUCCACCCUUAUCUAUUUUCUGACUUUUGGAAAAAUUUUCUUAAUAACACUGUGCUACAGGAAGUUGGUAGAUGUAGCUAAUGUUAAAAACUUUGUUAUUACUGAAAAUAUUUUUUCAUCUUUGUGUUGUAUGUGUUUUGGUAAUCACUGAAAGAGUAAUAUUGGGGCACCUGGGUGGCUAAGUUGGUUAAGUGACCAACUCUUGAUUUCUGCUCAGGUCAUGAUCUCACUUCACUGUUCCUGGGAUGGAAACCCACAUCUGGAUCCACCCUGGGUGUGGAGCCUGCUUAAGAUUCUCUCUUUCUCUCUCUCUCUUUCUCUCUCUCUCUUUCUCUCUCUCUCUUUCUCUCCCUCUUCCCCCCGACCACCCGUUUACACACAUGCUUAUAUGCUUACACACGCUCUCACUCUCUCUCUCAAAAAAAAGAGUAAUACCAUAUUACCUUGAGGAAAGCAUAAUUUUAUUUGCUAAGUUUCCAUGACUUUUUUAUUUUCUAACUUUGUGUGUUUGAAAAUGUUCCUUUUAAUAGUUAAAUUUAGUUAAUAUAAUAGAAGGUUUGUCUUAUCUAUAGCUAAGCAACAAAUCUCAGCAUAAAAACAAACACAUGAAACUAUUGAAUAAAUUGGACCAUGGCAUGGGAAAAUCUCUCUAUACGUUUUAAUUGAUCUCUCCAUUAUCCAGGGCAUUAUUAAAGACCUAUCCUAUCAUGUCUAUUUAACAAGAGAAUCAGACAAAAUUAAUAACCUGUGAAAGUAAAAUGCCAAGCAUUUAUUAAAUCAAGGUACUAUGUGUGGUUACUUUUAUAUUCCUGCCCUGAAGAAUGAUAUAAAAAAUUAUAGGAAAUUUUAAGAUGUACACCUAAAGAGUUAUUGAUUUGGAAAGUACAACUGACAAAUUAUAGUUUGUAAGUCAUAUGGAGUCACAUAAAAAUCACAUGGCAUGAGCUACAGUCUCCUGUAUGGAGGCACACUUCUCCACACAGGCUAUGCUCUAAUACUAAUAGAAAUUCCAAAUACUGGCCCUGAUCCAUUCUCCACUUAUCCUGAAAUUAACAAUAAUGCAAGCAAUAAUGGUGAUAUGCAUUGAUUUAGCUAGUUUUCUGCUCUUUUUUAAAUUUUUUUUAAUGUUUACUUAUACUUGAGAGAGAGAGAGAGAGAGAGAGACAGACAGAGACAGAGACAGAAUCUGAAGCAGGCUCCAGUCUCUGAGCUGUUAGCACAGAGCCCAACCUGGGGCUCAAACUCAUGAACUGUGAGAUUAUGACCUGAGCUGAAGUUAGAUGCUCAACCAGUUGAGCCACCCAGGUGCCUGGCUAGUUUUCUUUUCUUAAAUUGACAGGCCUACCCAACUAUAUUUAGCAGAGGAAGUAAACUUACUCUUUAGACUCCUCAGCUAUUCUGACAACUUCAUUCAUUUGACUACAAACCUUUUUUAAGUAAACUUGAACAAAAAGCCAAUUCCUCAUGAAAAGAACUACAAAAGAAAGUCUUGGAGCAACACAUGUAACCUACUCUUCCAGCAGCCAGACAAAUAGACACAUCCCAAUUAGUCCCCAAGGAAAUUAGACAUUACUUAUAUAUGGGGCUGCUGAUGUACCAUCCAGAAUAGACAGUAGGAGCCUGUGCUUAAACUGAUAUGUUAUUUAAUGAAAAAUCAUAUAUUUAAUAUGGAGACACACUGUGUCAGAGAAUUAAAUAGAAGCUAUAAUUUUAUUACUUUACUUUUUCCCCCUUUUUACAGUGGUUUUAGGGAAUUAUAAUUUCCUCAAUUCCUUUUUUCCCCCAAAGUAAUAGAUUUAUAUUAAAAAUGAAAAAAAAAAAGGUGUGAAAGGUUAUAUUUUUCUCCCUUUGGUACCACCAUUUUGUUGCUACUGAGGGACUAUAGAAGAGGGUGGCUACUACUGUUUCAUUAAACCAGGAUCUCUGUGAAGUUCAGCUGCAGAACAUGUGUUCUACUUUUCUUUUGAAAAUGUGCUCCAUUAAAACCACAUUCUUUUGCCAGUCCAAAUUCAUGAAAGUCUACAUGUCUCUGUUUGAAUUAUCCAAAUUCUGCCUGUGAGGCAAAGGAUGUAAAGUAAAAAUGACGAAGCCACAACACAACAGUCUUGAAAGUUGCCAGUUGUUGUAUGGCUGAUUGAGAUUCGGCAACUGCACCAGUUGAGAAAAGAGCCAAGACAGGUGAUAGUGACCAGUAUACAGCUGUGUGGAGCCAGCACUCAUAGGCUGGUGCCUGUUAAAGGCUUGAAAGAGCCUUCCAGUAAUUUUAUUGGCCUCAAAACUGGAAGUGGCAUCUUGUAUUCUUCAAUAGAAUCCGGAAUUGAGGCCUGAUGAAGGACUUAUUACAAAUAAAUAAUGAUAUAAUAUAAAGAAUAAUACCAUACAAUUAUAAUAUAAUAAUAAAUAAAAUAAUUUGUCCCUAUCACAGGUAAUCUUUCCAAUCCCCCAGAACAAAUGGGAAGAGAAAUAACUAUCGUGUCUAAUCAGAAAUCACUUGCAAUUUCAAACAACUAUUUAUCAGGACCUCUUGAAAUAAGACAUUCUAAUCCUGGAAAUUUACAAAAGAUGCAAUGAGAGAGCAUCUACACUACUUUCUGAUAGAAAAAUUAUACAGGUAGAGUAAAAUUGAGUACUUUUUCAGUGGUAUAAAAUAUGUUUGGUCAAGGGUCUGUGGUAGCGGUGGUGGAAAGAUGUGGCAGGAAAUGAAAGGGAAAGGUAGAUUGCUACCAGAUCACAGGAUUUUUGCUUUCCUGAAAAUUUUGGAAUUAUUUCUGGGAAGUCAGAAGGAUUUUUGAAAAGGGGAAAUUACAUGAUCUAAACUAUAUUUCAGGAACAUAACUGUUGUGCAAGGAAGAAUAAACCACUAGCAAUAUUUCAGUCAAAUGGGCACUCUUUCUCGUAAGCAGCAUUGCAAAUCGCUAAGGCAGUUCAGCUCGACUACUGAAAAUAAGGAAAGCAUUAAAAAGUUGUGGGUAGGUCCCAUCUGAAGAGAGGAUUAAACUAUCAAAGGAAAACAAAAGGUUCUAAAAGCUUUGAUCUAAAGAAUGAUUUUAGAUCAUUCUCACAAUGUCCCAGAGAUCAAUUAAUGCAAUUCCCCAAGAAAACUCAGAACAGACCUGGCAAUCUCCAGGGAGUUUUGGAACUUUCACCCUCUGGAGUUUCGGAACCAGCCAGAUUAGAAUCUAUACCUGUGCAUAUGGACAUCUGUGAUGCCAAAGUCAUCUUUACCAUACAUUUUCACAUUCUACAAGCUUAACAACUAGUAAAAAUAUAAAGUUUAAAGACAAUACCUCUUCAAAGUCACAUUUAAUUGUUAAACAUUUAUGUAAGCUGGGAAUUGAGUAGGCCACCUGGCAAUUUUACAAGGUGAAAAAAUGCUUUACUCAAAAUGACAGUUUUUGCUUCUAUUUCCCUGGUGUGAGAGUUCACUAAUUAUUUGCCACUGUAAGUAAGUUUCACAGUGUUAAGAAACUGAACUUAAGAUUAUUAUUGUUCAUGUUGGACAUUCAGAAUCAUCCCUGAAGUAUUUGUAAUCUCAAACACAUUUGUUAUACCAGUGUGAAACAUUGUUUAUUCAUGGCACUAUAUGUAUUAGUUAGGUAAUCUUUAAUUUUAGAUUAAAAAAGCCAAAAAAAAAAAAGCAUAUAAAAGUGCACUUUAAAAGCCAAGUGGACAAUGACUUGAAAAGAAGUUAAUUUCAAAGAUUUCAAGUAAACUAACAGUUACAAAAAUGUCAGAAACACUAACUAAACCAGAGUGAGAACACUUUUGUUCUAAAAGUAGAAUAUUUAAACCAAGGCUGAUCCUUAGAUAGCACAAUUUGAAAAAAUAAGUUAACAAGACACAAAAUGGAUUUCUAAUACUAUUAAAAUUGCUCUAAAUUCUAGCUAUGAGAGUUAGAAACAGGAUGGUAAUAAACGUUGGAUCGUUCAAGUUGUCCCAGUGUAAUUAACAGUUUUUGCUUUCACUGUCAAAGGCAUCCCAGUUUGAAUAAUAAACUAUAUGAACACCUGAGUCAUAACACAUCCCUGAAAAUUAUCUUAAUUAUCCAGGAAGUGAAAUGUAAUUGAAGAAAUAGGCUUAUCAAAAUUGAUUUUCAGUAGAAGCGGAAAUUUUAAAAAUAUAUGUAUUUUAUUAAAACCUGACCAAAAAACCCAACAUAUACAUGCAACCAUAAUUUGGUAUUUCUUUAUUUACAAAUAAGUACAUUCAGUGUUAUAAAACUACUUUAAGGAUCACUUAGCUGCCUCUUACAAGUUUAAUAUGCUGAAAUCAGCACAUUUUUCAUUAGCUAUGUGUUGUCUGAUAUUGUAAUUUUGCACCAGUUUUCUUUUGAGUAGGUUUUGUAUGUUCCAUGGCUUUUCAUCUUCCCCCCAGCCUCAAUCUCUUUCUAUAAAUUAAAAGACUAAACAAAAUACCCUUGAAGUAUUCAGAUAGAUUUUUAUUUCAGUAAUCUACUAGUCUCUGUAUAUCUAUGGAUUAAUCAUCUAUAAUUUUUAUAUUUAUUUAUAUAUUUCUACUUAGUACUAUGAUUUUUUUUUUCAGUUUCAUCUACCAUUUUUUCCAUCGUUAUGCCUUCUAUUGCAUUGAGAAAGUUUUCACAUUUACUUCCUUCAGAUAAUUUUGAAAUAACAGACUUGAUUUUUAUCAUAUUCUGAAUAUUGUUUUAAACAUAAUUAGUGUCACCUAACAAAUGUGCAUUACUGUAGCACGUUUACCUACUUCUAAAAUUCCCUGUCCUCACAUUCAUCUAUUUACAUGGUAUAAAGCCUUGAGUUUAAACCCUUUUUCGCCAAACUCGAAAAUAAUAAUUUUAAUAUUUAACAGUUGUAUUUACUAAUAUUUAAUCAAUUACUUUGAUCAACUUCCCUACAUUUCUUUCAUACCAUAACUGGAUUUUACUUUUUCCUUCUAAAAUAAAUUAUUUUAAAGUCAUAGUGUGUUUUUUAAGCUUCAAAAUCUUUAUGUAGUCUAAAACUAGUCUUAUUUUGCUUUCACCUUGAAUGAUAUGGUAUGUCCACUAAAUAUUAAACUUUAACUUGACUAUGAUUUACCUUCAGUACUCUGAAGAUGUCACCAUCGGUGGUACAAAGUGUACUAUAUGUUUCCAUCAUGAAUUUUUCAAUUUACUCUUUUAUCUUUAUUUUUCAGUUUCAAUCUGUUGUGACCAGAUAUAAGGUUAUAAAUAUAUANUUUAAAAAAAAAAAAAAAAAAAAAAAAAAAAAAUAUAUAUAUAUAUAUAUAUAUAUAUAUAUAUUUUUUUUUUUUUUUUCUUACAACUUGCAUUGAAUUUUGUAUCUGGGAAAUUUUAUCAAUUCUGAAAACAUCUUGGUGAUUCUUCAAAUAUUGACUGUGUUAUUUUUAUUCAUUUGAAUCACUUUUAUAUCUCUGGUGGGGAUUCUGAAACAACGCAUCAUGUUACAUAUAUAAAAAUUUCUUUAUGCUGGUUUGGAGUUGACUUUCUUAUAUGUAGGUCACACAAGGCUGAUACUGACUAUAUUUAGAAUUUUCCUUUCAGUAAACAAUGUUUAUGGAAAACAUUUCUAAUUUAGUAAUUUAUUCUUUCACAUAUUUACCAUUCUUAUUUAUGACUGCUUAUUUUUGUUUCAUGCAUUUAUUUGUGUUGAGUAUAUCACUUUUUUUGAGCAUCCGGCACUAAUUAUUUCAAAUUCUCAGAUGGAUUAUAACUGAUUUCUCCUGGAGUGAAUGUGUAUUUGGUUGUUUAAUUUGAUACCCUAUCAUUUAUUAUUUAAUAGUUUGAAUGAUCUAAUAAUGCAGAUUGUAAGUACGUUUUGAACUGUAAGUACUUUGGUAGGAAAGUUUUAGCGAUUUUGAUUUUGUUUUGUUGUUAUUGGUAUGUAUGCAUGUAUAUGCAUUUGCUUGCUUUUCUUUGAUUUUUUAUUUUAUUAUUUUUUCCCCUCUUCAGCAAUCCUGUUGUUUUGAAGUUGCUUCCUUCUAAUCUAGAUAAGAUGCAGUUAUUAAAAUAGAGUUUGACAAUUUCUAUUUUUAUAAAUACAUCCAGCCUAUCAGAGAUCCAAUCACAGAGUCAGAUGACAACUUGGCUCAGUAGUAGGUUGAAAGUUGUGGUUUUUGUCCCUAUUUCCUUAGGUCAGGAGCUUUAUAAUGCUGCUGUGGUAUCAUAAUGCCAUAUCCCAAGCAGCAAGUCAACAGCCAUUUGUUUCAGCCCCCUUUCACAAUAGAGGGGAAGGGGAUCUAUUUCUUCCUAGUCCCAAGCUUUAACCCCGAGAGGGAACAGGGAGAACCAAGUCACAGAGGGCAAUCUUAGUACUUUUCUUUUCAGGAGCCCCACCUCCUUGCUUCCACUCCCAUCUUCCAAUUGUUCAGCUGGCCAGUGGCAUACACCAUAACAACUUUGCAAUUCUGGGGACUCACUUACCAUGUAUGAAAAUAUUUAUCACGUCAUUGGAUCUCAGCUACUAUAUAUGAAUCCAUGGUAUAUAUGUCCAAUACUUGUGUGAACAUAUAUAUUUGGUAGUUUUGGAUUAAUGGGUCUGUUUAAAACUCAUUGCAUCUUUUGGGGCACCUAGCUGGCUCAGUCAGAAGAGCAUGUGACUGUUGAUCUCAGGGCUGUGCAUUGGAGCCCCACAUUGAGUGUAGAGAUUACUUAAAAAUAAAAUCUUAAAAAAAAAGUGAAAAACAAAAAAAAUAACUCAUUGUAUCUUUUGACCAGUAGUUCAUAUUUUCAAUGAGAGAAUUAGUGAAAAACUUACUUAUGAUUUCUAUAAUAUCUCCAUGAUAAACUAAAGCCCACUCACACUGUAAAAGCUGAGAGAUCUGUUUUAUCAUUUUUUAAAUAUCUUUAUUAUUAUACAUAUAAAAUAACUAAAAAGUAGAAAAACUUAAACAUUUAUAAAAUAAUAUAAAAUGCUAUUUAGCCCUUUCGAUCAAAGGAUAUUUUGAAGGUAUUCAAAAGUUCUAGCUUUUAAUUCAGUACUGAAUUCUUCAAAAUUUUAAGAUGCGACUAGACUUGACCUCUAUUUUGGGAUCUUUAAAUAAUGGAUUAGAAGUAUCUUAUCAUUGUUCUAUCAUGUCUAAUUCUAAGAGAAACUAUCCCAUAACUAACACUUACAGAGGGCUUAUUUUGUCCCAGGCUUUGUUGUAUGCAUUUUACAAAUAUUGACUUGAUUAGUCGUCACACUUCCUAUGAGGUAAUUACUAUUUCUGAGUGUUCAGAAAAGCUUAAGGCACAGAGAGAUAGUUACUUAAUGAUAGCAUAGUAUGUAAUAAAUGACACAGUCAGAAUCUGACUCUUGGCAGUCUGACUCCAAAAGAAGAUUCUAUGUAGUUUUGCUCAUUUGACUUUCAAAGUAGACAUCAUUAGUUACCACAUGAUAAUGACUGACUUCUUGUCUUUGUCUGGUUAUGAAUGAGCUGUUUGACUUCUGCAUUUUUUUCCCUCCCCAAAUGGCCUUUCUUCAUUAUCAAAUGAAGCUGCCUAGCGAUACAACUGACUUGCAGACCUUUGAAGAUAUCUGCUUUUGUAUUUGACAUGGUGUAUUUUAAUGAUAUAUAGCCUUAAACAUACUGGCUACAGAUGACUCAGUGUAAAAAAAUGCAUAAUAAAUUUUAAUUCCUGAUAUAUGUUGUAGAACAAUAUCUACACAUGAAAACCAGCCAACUAUAUUUCUGGUAUAAUUCUGACUAUAUAUUACUGUAAACAAACAGAUUCUAAAUUGUGACAAAGAGUACAUUAGUACACUGUAUUUGACAUUGAGGGUUUUUUAAGUUUAUUUCUUUAUUUUGAGGGAGAGAGAGAGAGAGAGAGAGAGAAUCCCAAGCAGGCUCUGCACUGCCAGCAUAGAGCCUGAUGCGGACCCACAAACCAUGAGAUCAUGACCUGAGCCCAAAUCAAGAGUUGGUCGCUUAACUGACUGAGCCACCCAGGUGCCCAAACAUUGAGGAUUUAAAAGCCAAAGUGAAAUUAUUACCGACACAUUCAUUACCAAAGUUAAAAAAAAAAAAAAAAAAACAAGAAUCAACAAAACCAACUUAAUCUUUGGAGCUCAGUAGAUGUGGCCCAAUAUAAGUGGUUUUAUUCCUCUGCUAUAGCAAGGAAAAAGAAAAAAAAAAAGUUCCUACUAUUUUGCCAUAUCGUUUAAAUUUCACAUUUCCAUUUACUGUCCUAAUUAAUGUCUAUGUGGAGAGCAUUCAUGAUUUCAUUUUACUUUGAACAGCUUUGCUUCCUUUGCUCUCACUGGACUUUAGUCAGACCACCCUUUCAUUAAAUAGUUCAGUAAUUAAUCCACUUAUUAGUUAUAGACUCUUAGAGUAAAUCUAUAUAGAAGCAAUAUUGUUUAGGAAAGGGAAAUAUUGUGUAAAUUGCAACAAGGGGCUUCCUAAUUUAAAUGAAACAAAUAAGUGUGUGUGUGUGUGUGUGUGUGUGUGUGUGUGUGCCCGCGCGUGUGUGUGUGUUUGGACGUGUGUGUGUGCGUGUGUGUGUAUACACAGUCAGGACCUUAACUUGAGAACACGUGAUAUUGAAAAAUGUAUUUAUGUGUCUUUUGAACUCAAAAUGAAUUUUUCCUUAAAACAGUAUGAUUAGAUUUCUAGGUUAGCCUAACAUAGACUUCCUGUAUUAUAGAAAUAUAUAACCUGACUGAUGAAUUUUAGGAUUUGAGAACCACGAGGAAGGAAGAUGGGGAAAGUAGAGUCAAGUACAAUACAAGUCAAAAUAUUGUGACAGGUGAACUUUUUCUUUAGGCUGACAUCAUUUCUGUAUGACUUCCUGUCUCUGGUGCACAUCUCCUCACGUGCAUAGAAAUAGGUCCAUUGAAUGUGGAAACCGUUGUAGCACUAAAUGAGGGAUAAUGAGUAAAUAUCCAUUCCUUAAUUUGCAAAGGGAUAAAGAUCAUAGACUCUGGAACCUGAUUUCUGGGGCCCAAAUUUUGUUUUUUUCCCCAGUAAGUUUUGUGACCUUAAGCAAUUUACUCAAUCACCCUGUGUCUUAGUUUACUCAUUUGUAAAUAGUACCACUAACUAGCUAAUAACUAGCUCAUAUAGUCUCUAUGAAAAUAGACUGGAUCAUGUAUUUAAAACUUUUGGAACAAUGACUGACAAAACACAAGUGGUAUGGAAUUUUAGCUAUUAGUAUUAAUAUUGUUAUUAUUAAUAAAAAACACAAACAUGUAUUAGAGUGUCAAUUUUGUGUUAAACACUAUAACAGAGGAUAAACAUGUAAGAUAAAUAAGAACAGUUCCUGCACCAAAGAGUUUCAGGUGAGAGAAAACAGAGAUUGGUUCAUUUUAAAGAUGACAAAAUAAGGAUACCAGGAGAAAAUUUUAUGGAAAGAUAUUUAAAGAAGGUGUGAAUGUUUCAAUUCUAAAGUACCUGUGUUGAAGACAAACGUGACUAUCCGGACAUUGAAGGUGUGAGUAAUUGCAAGCAACCAAAGAUUAAAAAAUCAAUUUAGAUAUUGAGAGAUGCACACAGAAGGUGGCAUUUAAGAUUUUAUUUUUUAAAGUUUAUUUUUGAGAGAGAAAGCCAGAGCAUGAGUGUGGGGAGCUGGGUGGUGCAGAGAGAGAGGGAGACCCAGAAUCCAAACCAGGCUCCAGACUCCAAGAUAUCAGCAAAGAGCCCAAUGCGGGUCUUGAACUCACAAACCUUGAGAUCAUGACCUGAGCCAAAGUGGGACACUUAACCAACUAAGCCACACAGGCGCCCCAGAAGAUGGCAUUUUAAAUGUUAAGCAACAGGUAUUAGGAUCACAGUUCGAGGGAAAGGAGUCCAAGCACCAAAAGACUUUGAAGUAAAACAAGAAGCAAGCGUUAAGAAACCAGAAAACUGAGAGAAGCAAACCCCUCUUGGAGCAACUAGAAGCCAACGUGGCAAGACUAACCAAAUGCAAUUAUUGAGCUACCUUCUCUAGAUGUGAAUCAUUCUCUAUGAUGAGGGACAUGCCUAGUCUCAGAAUCUGGGAGUAUAGUGUAGAAGUGGGAGAGUUUAGAGAAAAUUCACAACUGACAUAAGAACACUUGGCCCAAAACUAACAGGUAUACAAUCUUCCUGAACAAUACAUUGUCUAUUUACAACAUAUAAUUGUACUAAAACAUUUUUUAGUCUCUAAACAGAGAAAGAACAAGUGAGGAAAAGAGUUUUAAAGUAUUGUAUAAGCCAUACAUAUAUUACUUAUCAUAUGACCAUGGCCACAAACAUAAAUAUACUGGAAAACUGCAAUACAGGACUGAAAUAUUAGGGUGUGCCAAUAUAUUGUAGGUCCUCACUGUACUGCUUCAAUGCUACACUAGGUUCAAGACAUUCUCAAGCCUCUUUAUUCCUCUAAAAUGCUUGAAGUAUAGCAGGAAAUUAGUCAAUGUGAAUUGAUGAAUAACAUGGGGACUGGCCAAAUUAAACCACAUUAAUCUGGGAAAGAUUGUCAACACCUGACUCCUCAUAAAGCUAUUUGCAUUUUCCAAAGAAGAGCUUGUUGAUCCCAAAUUAAUGUCUAAAUGGUAGAAUUUCAAGUAAUGUGGCAAGUUUUACAUGAAAAAAGAAAAAGUGAAAAAAAUAAAAUGGAACAAUUAUGCAUGGGAGUUUAAACAACAGAUUUGGCACUUUUCCUGUUUGACAGUUCCUUUGUUUCUUCCAAACUUGAGCACAAAUGUUCUUUCAGAACUCCAUGAUUUAUUUUGGCUUGUAUCUCAUUUCAUAGCCAUUCUUACGCUAUUUACAGGAGUGGGGAUAGAGGUAAUUGGUCAAGAGUAGCUUUAUAUGUAUGGGUAAAAAUCGCUUUGCAUAUUAGACAGGGUGCCUGGGUGGCUCAGUCAGUUGGGUGUGGGACUCUUGAUUUCAGCUCAGGGGUCAUGAUUCCAAGGUCGUGGGAUGGAGCCCCGAUGGAGCCCUGCAUCCAGCUCCAUGCUCAGCAUGGAUUCUCUCUAUCGGCCCCUCUCCCCCACCUGUGCAUGUGUACACACACGUACACACUCUAAGUAAGUAAGUAAAUAAAUAAAUGAAUUGCUUUACAUAUUGGAAGUGAGAGCUUAUUUGUAUUAAGAGAAAUAUUGGAAAUAUUAGAUAUGAAAUAAUAACAAAAUCUACAGGAUGGCAGUUCUGAUCUAAAUAUUUGGUUCAUUUAAUAAUAGACAUAGUUUACCAAACUGAUCAGCAUUUUUUCUCCAGAUAAAUUUAAGCAAUGAAAGAUCUUUCACCUGAAAUGUUAUUUCCCUGGAACUUAUAUCUUCUUAAAUGCUCUAAAAGUAAGACAUCUAACAUAGUUAAUAUGUAACAAAUAUGUUGCAGUUCAGGAGUAUGUCAACACCAUACACUUUUAAAACACCUUAAUUAGGUUUUUAAACUCUUCAGCCUAGGGGCGCCUGGGUGGCUCAGUUGUUAAGCGUCCGACUUCGGCUCAGGUUAUGAUCUCACGGUCCGUGAGUUCGAGCCCUGCGUUGGGCUCUGUGCUGACAGCUCAGAGCCUGCUUCAGAUUUUGUGUCUCCCUCUCUCUCUGACCCUCCCCUGUUCAUGCUCUGUCUCUCCCUGUCUCAAAAAUAAAUAAAACGUCAAAAAAAAGUUAAAAGAAAAAAAAAACAACUCUUCAGCCUAUAUUCUAUGUGUAAGAUGCUAAUUGUUAAAUGAUACAUUCUAGAAUUCCCUCAAAUUCCCUCAACUAGGUGAUUUCUAGAAUUUUAGAUUGGGUUUAUUGGCAAAAUAUGGAUCAACAUGAGAUUUUUUAUUUUUUCAUUGUUUAAUCUGGACAGAGAGUCAAAAAAAAAACUCUACCAAUUAAUAAUUAAUUUUAUUUUUGAAAAAAAAUUUUAACAUUUACUUAUUUUUGAGAGACAGAAAGAGACAGCAUGAUCAGGGGAGGGGCAGAGAGAGAGAGAGGGGGAGACCAGAAUCUGAAGCAGGUUUCAGGCUCCGAGAUGUCAGCACAGAGCCCAACGCGGGGCUUGAACCCAUGAACCAUGAGAUCAUUAUCUGAGCUGAGGUCAGAUGCCUAACCAACUGAGCCACCCAGGCACUCCAUAACUAAUUUUAUUUUAAAAAUAUAAGUAAUUUUUCAACAAAAGAAAUUAAAAUCCCAUGAAGUAUAGGAAUUAUAAAAAUCAUUGCUUUUUCUAAUAUAAUGGAUAUUGCCCUAUAAUAAACUCACUUAUAUAAAAAUUCAUUCUGUUUUAAUAGCAUUGCAGACAACACAUGGGAACAACAUUCCUCUUCCACUGAAAGCAAUGAAAAAAUUAACGUGAUUCUAGUUAAUUUUAGCUCUAUCCCUACACAAAUAAUCUGGUAUUGACCUUGUUAAUAAAAUAAAAUGUAUCUUUGGGUUACUGAAAUAAAUUUUUGAAAUAUACAUUUUUUUUUUUUUAGCAAGGGAGAUGUUAUUUCUGAGGAGCUAUUUGCAUGGCACUUUUAUUGUUAAAAUGAUUUAUAAUUGCUUAUUUAAAUUAUUCUGGUGCCAUUAACUAUCAUCUUUGGUGCUACAUACAAAAACAAAACUGAGAUAUAUCUGAAAAAUAUGUACUUUUCCACUUUAUUAGCAUCUGUAAAACACAUUAUCAUAGAUUUAUUAUUAACUCAUUAGAAAGAAUUCUAAACAUGGAGUUAUGAUUUUACUCUAGAUAUUUACAGUAUGCAUAUCAUAGCUCUAGUAAUAUAAAAUAUAAAGUAACUAGGGAUAUUAGCAUGGAAAAAUAUACAGCUAUAUAUGCCUUAUGUGUAAAAGUAAGCCAAAUAUAACUUUAUCAUGUGGUAAACAAUUUCAUGUUUACACUAGAUAUAUACCAUGAGUCAUUUGGAUCAACUUCUUGAGGCAUUUAAGAAUUUCAAAAGAUGGAUAAUUAGUGGAAAGAACACAGCUAAUUCAAAGGAGAGGUAAUGUUGAAUAAAUGUCUUAAUCUAAGGAAGCUUUAAGCGACCUCGAGCAAAAAUGUAGUUAGCCUGGUCAAAGUGAAAGGUAGAAAAGAUAAGUAACAAGGGAACAAAGGUGUCACUGGAAAUAGCACAGAAAAUUCACCGGAGAGGAGAAUUAAGUGGAGAGAAGGUUGAAAUGUUCAAAUGAGAAAUGAAUAGUAUUUGACCUAAUCCUAUCUUUAUAGAUUGGAGAGUGUAUUAUGUUUCUUGGAGAUUCCACAAAAAAAUUACCACAUACCUGGUGACUUAUACAAACAGAAAUUUAUUCCCUCACAGUUCUAGAGGCUGGAUGUCCACAGGGCCACACUCCCGCCCAAAGCUCUAGGAGAAAAUUAUUUCUUUCCUUUCUCAGCUCCAGGGGGCUUCAUCAGCUGGUAGUAAGUAGCAUUACUCAAAUAUCUCCACCUCAUCUUCACCCAGGCUUCUUGUGUCCUCUGUGUAUUCUUUUCUGUCUCUUAUAAGGACUCUUUAGAUUUAGGACCUAUCCUAAUUCAGCAUGCUCUCAUCUCUAUUCAUUCCUUAAUUCCAUCUACAAAGACUACAUGUAAGUAGUCACAUUCUGAGAUUCCAGUGGACAUGAAUUGAGGGAGGGAGAAUGACACUAUUCAACCCACUAUAGAAAAUAAAGAACUUUUUGUUAGCUUGUGAAAAAGAAUGGUUAAAAGAAAGUAGAAAUAUUGAGCACAGCAUAGUCACAAAUGUAACGUAAGUCUUGGUAAUGCCAAUAUACAGAAUGACAUUUGUUAUGAGGACCUGAGACAUAUGUAUCAAGUAGCAGUGAAAAUAUCAGUCAUCAGGAAAGAAUGAUGAAUAAUAUCGGUCACUGUGUCCUCAGUUACAGGUGGUAGAAUUGAACACAUGUACUGUCCCUGUCCCUCAUGAUCCCUAUAAAAUGACAGAAAAGAUGUAAAACUACACAAACUAAAAGAUAGAUAACAAUAGGGUACCCUGUAAUAUAGGCAGCAAAAGAUACCAAUGAGGAGCAAGUUAAUUCAUGCCUCAAAAUCACAGAAAAUAGGUGAAUGGGAGCUAGAAAUGACAGAUCAUAAGAUGAGGUGUGGGACUGGAAACAAGCAAUAGAUAAUGUCUAAAUUAAAUCAAAUAGAAAUAAAAGCAUAUUAUUUAGAAGUCAGAAAUCACAUACCAGAAGAAACAGCAAAGUAUUAAGGGCAGGCAGUGCAAAGAUGAGGAAGGUUUCAGCAGAAUACUGCUGAUUUUCAUUUUACACCUGUCAGUAUACUUAAUUUUUAAACUAGAAUUACGAAUAAUGUUCAUAAAGACUUAAAUGUCAUUAAAAGCAAAUACAAAAUAGCAAUGAAUAACUGCAUACAUUCAACAUUAACUUGAGACAGGCACAAUGCUUAGCACUUUAUCUGUUCUGAUUCAUUUGGCAUUUACAACAAUCCUCAGAGGUAGAUGACAUUAUUUUUGUCUCAAUUUUAUACAUGGGGAAACAAGAUAAUUUGCACAGAUCACACAGUUCUUAAGUGACAAAGACGGGAUUCAAACCUAGGGCUUUCUGCUUCCAAAUGCUCUUAAUUGCUAGACCAUAGAAUACUGUGAACUGAAACCUUUGAGGACACUGAACUCAGAGGUUGUGAUUGGGGUAUAUGGCAAAGCAAUCCUCUGGCGGCAUCCUAUUAACACUAGAUUAGAAGGGAAGGAGGCUACGUCAAAAUGCCCAACAGGAUAUUCCCAGUUAAGAAACAAUAAAGAUGGAGAAACUUUAAGCCAUAGAUCAUUAUGCUAUAAAAUGUAAGUGUAUCUUAUAUAUUGAAUAUAAGAUUCUAAAAUACCCAAUCAUCAUUGUCUUAGAAAAGAGAAAGCAUGACUAAUAAAUACUCUUCCUGUUUCUUCCUAAGUGUGACCUAAUAGGGGAUCCUUAGUAUUUUCCAGUUUUCACUGGGCAGCCCCACUUUAUGUUUCUUAUGCUAUAAUUCUUACCAGUUUAAUAAGUUGAUGUCCCAGCAUAAUUAUUAAUGCAUCCUCAUUCAUUCUCAAUAGUGUCAUAAUAUAUGAUAAAUUAUAUAGCUCCCUAUAUAAUUUAUGGAAGCUGCAAUCGUUGGCACUUAAAUAUUGACAAUUUUGGAAUUCUAGAAGCAAGGCACUUGUUCUUCCAAAUCAUCUGUAUAAUGUAGAACUUCUACCUGUUCUGACAAUCUUCUGGCUCUUUAAUUUAAAUUUUUGAUAGAAAAUGGGACUUAGGCAGCUCAAUCACCUCUCCCCCCCCNUUUUUUUUUUUUUUUUUUUGGUAGAGGGUUUAAAUCUUGGGAUCAGGCCAGGCAUCUUCCUACUCCCCCUUCUGACUCCCAAUCUAAUUAGGUUUCAAACAGAGGAACACCUAGGUGUCUCUUAGCUUUAAAUAUUUAAAUAUACUCUUGGGUUUCCCAGCAAUUUACACCCCAAACUUCAGCACAGACUUGUAAAUCUCUAAACUGUGUGACAUUCCACCCCCCUUCCCUUCCUGUGAGAUUAGUGGCUCCUGUGGGGAAAGGGACACUUGUAAGUUCUAAGAUUUACAAGAGUGCUGUGCUUUCUAAGGUGUAAAUUGCGAGGAAACUCCAGAGUGCCAUUAAACAUUUAAACUUGGUAAGCAUCAUGCCCCUUUAUCCUCUGGGGCAGCAGUUACUGAGAAAGAGCAAGGGGAACAAACAGUUGGGUCUCCAAGUCUGUCACUAAAGUGUGAAACCAGUAUUGGAGGCAUCCUGGAUUCAGUAGCAGAAAUACAAGCAUAUCCUUAAUGACUUGUUCUUUUAGUUGUCAUGUUAAGAAUUUAACAUGAUCAAUUAUUUAACACAUAACUGGCAUGAGCCUAGUUUUUAAAUGGUUGAAGCACAUAUAUCAUUUAAACAGUACAGUUAUUAAAAAUGUGCUUAAUGUCUAUUCCCUCGCCAUUAAUUUCAUCCAUAUUAUUAUAAGUACAUGUAAUAACUGAAACUUGAAGCAAAUUUAUAAAUUGCUUUGCCUUAAACAAUAUAUCUAUAGAUUGAAAAUAGAGAGGACCAUGGAGAGUGGCUUGCCAAAAGUCACAAAGGUAGCGAGCGCCAGUUGCAUUAAAUAAAUAAAUUUCAUAAGGGAAGGUCUUUCUAAUUUAUUUUGACUUCUGGAGUAGAAUACGUUCUCUGCACAAGAUUUUCACAGCCAUCCAAGAGAAUGUUGAAAAGGCUGUGGCCAAAAAUACUGUUCUUGACCCAAAGAUAUUCAUAUAAAGACCAAAAUGCAGGUGUUAUUGUCCCAGUGCCCAUUUUGUGCUGUGAAGCUGGGCCCCAGGAUUUUCUCUAGAAGUCAUAGUUCUACUUGCCAAAUUUAUCACCUAAGACUCCCAGGUGCAAAUAUAUACACACAGAGAAAUAACCAAUUUCAGCUGAAAUGUUUCUUGCAGUUAAGUCAAUGUUGUUGCCUUUGGCUCCUAAAUCUCCAUUUCUCCUUCACCUACUUUGAAUGAGAAGGAGGUGACAAAUGGUACUAUUCCAAAUGAUGAAAUCCUAACAACACAAUUUCUCCAUUCUGGAGAACUGGAUAGAAUGACUUUAUUUUCAAAUAAUCAUACCCCCCUUUUCUAGGCAGGAUUACCAAGGCAUAGGACAGAAUUUACUGGAGGUUUGGAGUUUCAAAUCCAGCAGCACUAGAAGUAAAGGGAAAUGGAAAAACAGAUGUAAUUGUGAAACUUCUUGUUGCCAAAAGAAACAUGAAACUACUGACAUGUUCUCUCUCUUUCUUUUCUUCCUUUGUGUCUUGGUUUGAUCCAGGAUCUCCUCAUGUCAGCCCUGGGGUCUUCUAAGAUCUUGGUUACCUUCAUGUGGAAAGUGUGUGUGUUCCAUAUUAAACCCUUCUUUGUUCCCAUAUUGUCCCUUCCCAUGCCUUAAUCUCCAAACUAUUAUUACUUCUAUUUGGAGCUUCCAAUAUUUAUUUCAGUUUUCCUCCCUUCUUUUCUCCUUUUAGUUUAGUUGUUUAUGCAACUUAAUUUUUUUUUCUGUUUCAUUGUUAUUUUUAACUUUUACUUUCUUAUCUCCUGUUUAUGCUUUUUGGAAACUGUUUGAAAUAAAUUUUAAAAUAUGUAUUGUAGCCUUUCUAGUUUAAUUUACUUUUCUACAGACUACCUCAUCAUUUUUUCCUUACGUAUCUUUCUUUCCAUUUUCAUUUUUCCAGAUGUUUUGGAGGAUGUUUGAGAACAUGGAAUUUGGAGUUGACUAGUGUGGUUCAAAUCUCUUAGCAUUCUCCAAUUCUGUAAUUUGCUUAACCACCCUAAACCAUAUUUUCUUCAUGUAUUAAAUUGAGAUAAUGAUACUUGACAGUGCUGUUGCAAAGAUUAAGUAUAAUAAUGUUUGAAACAGUUGAUCAGAAUAGUUGGCUUGUAGUACACACUCAAUAAAUAUUAUUACUAUAGUAAUCUAUAAGACAGAGGGAAAGAGGGAGUAUAUCUUUUAUUUCCAAGGGAAAAGAGUGAAAUUUGGGAAAUGUUAACAUUUAACUGGAGAUGAAAAAGUCUUACAGUAUACAUGCAGUGUAAUUUUACGAACAUGCCUUGAAGGUGUGCUUGGAAGAUAACUUGCAGAAGGUAUCACAGUGCUAAAAUAAGAACUUGAGUUGGAGACCCAGGAAAGUUUUUGUUCAAGUCACUACUCUCUCCCUUAAUUUGUUAUGCAGAUGUAAUCAGAUUACUUAACUUUUUGAUCCUCAAUGUUACAUAUGUUAAAUAGAUAAUAACACGUUAUCUUGUGGGUUGUAAGGAUUACACACAAGGCUUGCAAAGCUUCUAUCACGUUGUCUGAUCUAGUAUGUAUAUUAUUGACUUGGGAGUGAGUUUGAAAAGUUUUCACUUGUAUUAAGAAAAACAUACAUAUACAUACGAAUUUCAUUGAGCCAAAAGGACACAUUUUCUUUCUAUAUGCAUUGACAUUGGUAUUCCUUCCACACAUUCUGUAUAGAGGCAACUGAAAUGAAUGAGUUAUACUCAAACUUGGAAGAACCGUUUAAUAUCUUUUUAAAUCACGUUAUUCAGUAAAUGCUUCAAACUGGGCAUAAUCUAAGUGUAUAUAUAUAUGGACAGUCAAAAAGUUAUACAAUGAAUCACUUCUAGUGGUUCCUUCCUGUGGGUUUCUGGUUUAUUUUCAAGAGAAAUUUCUGUGGAAGGGCCCGACAGGUAGGCUGAGCUUUCUGGAUUUGUCAAGCAGAUCACUGGUCUAUAAACCUAUAGACCAAGUCUUAAGUGACACAUUUUAAGACUAGUCAACACCUAAAGGAUGAGCUAUUGUCUUGGAGGCAUCUUAAAAUCACAUAGUAGCAUGUAAACCAUUGGACACUAAGUUGAACCACAAAUUUUUGGUUUGUUUGUUCUUUUUUAAGUCAAAAUUUGGCCUUCACAUUUAUGCUGAAAAUGACUUCACACAUGUCUUUUCUUGUACCAAUAUUUUACUGCCAUAAGAAAAAAUAAGUAUUUCUGAAAUGGGUGAAUUAAUAUUUAAGAUUUUGUGAAGUCAUUCUAGUUCUGCUGAUUUUGUAUUAAAAGUAUAAUUAGAUGAUAAAAUUGGCUUUAUAGUGACAAAUAUUAAAUAUCAAUCUUCUGUUUUUGUACGUACUGGGAAUUCAAGGAUGACAUAAAGAUUUUAAGGUUUUAAUUUUGAAAUGAAGUGAGCAAUAUUAUUACUCUAUGAAAAAGUAAUCACACGCCCGCCCCUCUUCUAAAAGCAUCAGUUAUUUUGAUUAACCCUCAAAAUAUUUUAACUACCUACUGUGUCAAAUUCGUAUUAUCCCCAUUUUCACAAAAGAGGACACUGAGGCAAAAGAGUUGAAGUAAUUUCCCCCAUGAUUACACAGAUGAAAAGCAAUAUAAGGGGAUUCCAAUCCAGUCAGUCUGGCUCCAGAAUUCAGGAUAAUAAUAAUAUAAAUUUACACAGAGCAUAUUCCUUAAAAUUAAGAUGAAGAUAGUCCUUUUCAUAUACAUUUAAGAAAAAUAACAUUUAAUAUAAAUAUAAAUCUUGCACAGUUAUAUGCCUUUGAAAUGAGAGAAACCUUAAAAGAAAAUUGAAACAAUAUGCCUCCCAGGAUUGAUAAAUUAAUGCAACACAUGAUCUCUAGGUCUCUUAAGCCUAAUUAGACAGUACCAAUAUCAUUUAUCUAGUAUUAAAAUCUCUAAGACUGCUAAGAAAGCUUGUUAGUGAGUGAGUCAGGCAACCCAAGAUCAGCAAGAAAUGGUACCUCAUUAGUUGGUACCAAGUAAGUUAACAUACCUGUUAUUACUGCAGCAAGGCAAUUAUUCUUCUUGGUUAGAGAAAUGCCCUUACCUAGAAAAUUAUUACUGAUGUUUCAACCCAUAGAUGACUUAAAACCUCAUUAGGUCAUAGGCUGGUUUAGCAGCAGAUAUGAGAAGGUGAGAUAUGCUGGUUUGGAAUUAUGAAAGAAGACAUUUUUAAAAAAAUAAUAGCUACUAUGCCAACUGAUUUCUGAAGCUUAAGAAAGCCAUGCCUCUCUUAUUCUUUUAUAAUUUAUUUAGGAUUUGUGAACUAUUUUAUAAAAGUGUUUCAUACUUCUACCUGACUGUCAUCUAUCUGGGCCUUAAUUUUUUCUCCUCCCUUUAAUGAUUAUUAAUGAAAAUCUCCUAUAAAGGAAGUGAAUUCUUUUCACUGACAAAAUCUGAUAUAAAUAAAAACAUGACUGAUGAUAGAAGAGGUGUAGAGAUAAUUUUCAUAUAUAGUUAAUUCUCACCAUACUUUCCUCACCAUACUUUCCUCCUCCUUAUUCCACGGAGAGCAGGAUAAUCCCACAGUUCUCUUCAUUAUGGCCCUUAAAUUCAUCCACUAUUGUGUGCAUAUGAUGCCUGCAUGUUGGAAGCACUUUCUGAUAUAAGAGAUUUCUUCGUGGAGGAUGAAAAGAGGUUAUAUCCUUCAUUGUUUUCAUCUUUAUCCUGAGAAAAUAUGGAAGAUAUUUACCAUGAGAAAGAGCAAAAGAGACCGACUCAUGUUUCACAGAUAAAUAUCUAGUUUCCCGAGCUAUUAUAUUUUGCAUGACUAUAUUUUUUACCCUCUGGAAGUAUAUCAGGAUUUUAUACUGCAUGUUUUGGGAAGAAAGAGGGUUGGCACAUUGUGCUGUGGAAGGAAGUAAAUGUCUUUAACAGUCACUGUGGGAAAUCAAAUAGCUGUGUCCUGAGUUAGGAGAUUAUAGGGGACACAUUCCAAAGCAGAACACUGCUUUCUGGCCUUGCUGAAAACAGUGGGCUGUGUUUUGCUUAUCUAGUUAAUAUAUAUCUAGCGGUUGAGUCCUGCCUGUGCUCAUGAAUUCCUUAGACCUUGUUAUGUAUGGAAUAUCUUAUCUUGUUUUCCACCCUGCUUUCUACAUCUGCUCUAUUGUAGUCUUGGGAAUGCCUUAACUUGUUUCUCUGCACGCUUUCAAUACACUCUUACUGGCACAUAGCCCUCUGAUGUACUGAGGAUUAUUUCCAUAAAUAUAUGCUUAAUAAAUAUGGGAGCUUGAGAGCAGCUCGGGGAGACUUCCCUUAACCUUCCUCUCACUUCUCUUGACUUGCAGAGUCUUGAAUAAUCCUUUCUGCCACUCUCAGCUUUGCUGGGGAAAGCUGGAAGCCAAACCCACAACUCACCAUCCUGUAAUAUUGGAUAGUUAAUAUGAUAGAUAUAGAUGGGGAAUAUGAGGAGACCUAGGCAUACUUUAUACUCUAAGGAUGCUCAUAUUUAAAAUAUUUUCCUGACUUCCUUUGUCUCUGUGAUAGCUGUGUAACACUGACUUUCAUUCCUUCCCCUACCCCCCAAACUAAUACCUGCUAAAAUAAUGCCCACAUCAACUAGGUAAAAACUGUUUUUGGGGUGCCUGGGUGUCUCAGUUGGUCAAGUGUCUGAGUUCGGCUCAGGUCAUGAUCUCACGGUUCGUGGGUUCAAGCCCCACAUCAGGCUCUGGGCUAACAGCUCAGAGCCUGGAGCCUGCUUCAGUUUAUGUGUCUUCCUCUCUCUCUGCCCCUCCCCUGCUCUCCCUCUCUCUCUCUCAGAAAUAAACAUUAAAAAUUUUUAACAAAAGACUGAUUUUGUUUAUACAAAAUUAUGUUUACACAAAAUUUUUUAUACAAAAUUGUUGAUAAUUACAUUUGAGUCUCUAUAACAGUUUCUGGUAUAAAAGAAGCAUAAUAAAAUUAUUGUCAGUAAAUGAAAAUUCCUAGAGAAAAAACUAACAAUAUCAUUUAUCCUAACAUAUCUUACAAUUAACAGACCACAGUACCAGAAAUUUUUAGAAGUAGACCAUCUUCUUACAUUAGGUUCAUUUUGUUUGUUUAUUCCUAUUUGUAUAUUAUAAGAAUAUAUCUAUCCCAUGUUAUUGGAAGAGUGCAAUUCAUGAGUGAAAUUCAUUUUGACAAAAAGCAAAAAUAUUGAUUCAUGUGAAACUAAAGAGUAACAACCAACAAAAUUCUCAAGCUUAGGUGGACUAGUGUAGUUGAGAUACCAAAGGACUAACUCUGGCUGGCAGACACCAAGCAAACUUUCUGUUCCUGUCUAAAUUUUACUAGAUUUCAUACAUUUUGCCUGGUUCUAGAGUCUAUAUGAUUGGCAGUUGCCCUGGCUGGAUUAGUUGUUAAAUGCUUGACCUGUUACCACUAAGGAGCUGAAUUGAUAGCAAAGAGAAUUAGACACUUAGGGGUAGGUGUAUGAAAGAGUAGGGUGAGUGGUUUGAAAAAAAAAAAUUAAAAACAUUGAGACAGAUAUACUUCUACUACAUAAUAUUGUUAACCCUAACACAAGGCUAUGAUAAAGCUGUGCUUUUUGGUAGACAUUUGAUUUUUUACAAAAUAACCAUCCAUUAGUACCAUGCAUGGUGUACUAGAUGUGGUUCUCACAUAGUAUAAGAUGCCUAGAAUUCCUCUAAAGACUAAGCUUGUGAAAAUGAAUUCAAAAGAUCAGCUCCAUCAGAAAGUCUUGGGUCAGUAGUUACAAUGCAAACUUCUCUGUCCUACUCCAGAAGUAUUGAAUCAGAAUUUUGAGGGUGGAGUAAAGAAAUCUAUAUUUUAAUAAUUCCCCAAAUAAUUUUUACACACUUUGAAAUCUUGUUCUGAGAAAGGUCAAACAUACUUCCUGGUUCCUGACAUGUGUCAGGCCAAGCACUCAAUACAAGUUGAAAUGAUACAGUGUUUUGGUAUUAUCCAAAGUGUGAUCAUACACCUAGGCAUUGCCUGAAUCUAUCAUAUAUCAGAUGGUAGCAAAUGUAUACUUUCAGAACGUGUGCCUUCAAAUGUCUACAGAGUUAGAUCAGAUGAUCUUACUUAAUGCUAACAUAGAAACAACAUUUACAAUUGUUUCUUAUAAAUGUUCAAAAUUUGAAAUAAGUUGGUAUUUUAAAUAAUUUCUCCUUUUGUUUUUUUCUGUUUCUCCUAGGAAUUACCUCAAUUAAUAGAUCUUACUCUCAGUUGCAAAACUAAACAUUUGUAAACAUGCCAGGCUGUGUCUCUUUUCCAGCUGAAUCCAUUUGAAUCCAUGAAGUUAUUUGGCUUCUACUCCAAAUACUCAAGCAGCACAGGUCUUGUUAAAAUUGGCCCAAUCAUGUACAGAAGUUUGUGAAGCAUUCAGUAAAUCUUAUUCUAUUUUAAAAUUUGUAACCAGAUCCCUCAUUGGGUUGUCUCAUUUAAAUUGGUUAUAUUUCUAAACAAAAGUGUUAUAUGUCCCAAUGAAUAUUCUAAUAGUAUGUAAGCCAAAACCUAAAGUAUGGUGCAAAACAACCUUGUUCUCUGCUAUUUCCUAAGUAUACAGAUUAAAUUUUCUUGUCUUGAAUUUCAUAUACUUUUCUAAUAAUAAUAGAGAAACUAGCUUAUACCACAAUCAGUCCUACUUUUGAUAAUACCACAUUCUGGAUGAAAAAAAAAAGUAAGCAUUCCUCUAAAUCCACUGAAUUACAAAAUUAAAAUUAUAAUUGUGUUCCACAGUAGAUAGAGGCACUAUUUCCCUCUACAGAUAAGUCUACAAAAAUAAACAAAUAAUAAAUAAUAAAUAAAUUUUCUUAUUAAAAUUUCAAUGGAAUAUACUUAGAAAGUAUAUAUGAUUAAUGUAAAUUAAAUAUAAAGAUAAAUUUAAAGCCUUCCCUCUGCCCUUCGGAUAUUCAAUGUGACUGAAAUGCUCCAAGAACACUCAUGAUGCAAAUCUGAUCAAGAACAUAGAAUAACAUAUGCCAUACCACAUAGUUGGUCUAUGCUACUCUAUGCUACAAAAUUGUACAGCUCUCAUAUUUUAACCACACUUUACAGUAAGGGGAGAAUAGUACAUGGUGAAAAUUCACUGAAGAUAUAUGUCAAAAUCACCAAUAGGCCAAAUAUAUUGAAAAAGUAUCCAUAUAUAUAUAAUUUGUAUACAUACAAUUUGUAUAUGUAUGUAUAAUAUAUUUAUAUAUAUUAUGUAUAUAUUAUGUAUAUAUGUACAUAUUAUGCAUGUAUAUAUUAUGUAUACAUAUACAUAAUAUUAUAUAUAUACAUGUAUUUGUAUGUAUGUAUAAUAUAUAUAUACACACAUAAUUUGAAGUAAAAUGACAGAGUUUUACUGGCUGCUGUAAUAUACAGAACAAGAAAGCUUUAGAGGGUCAUGGGUUUAAAAUGUUUGAGAAACAGGGUUUCACAGGGUCAAGUUAAUUACAGGCAUGGCUCCAAAUCCACCUCAUUAAGCAUAGACAUUGGCAGCUCUCAGAGUGUGAAGUUGGGAGAUGACUGGAGUUGGCUUCACCUCCUAAAUCAUCCCUCAUUAGAGCUAGGAAAUUCAGGCUGUAUAAAAGUUCUUCCCUAGAAUACGAAAAAGUCAAAUCUGACUGUUUAGAGCAUCUGUCCACUGCCUCGUGAGAGGAAAAUUUUUCUCUUUUUCCAUUGUCUUAACUCAAAAUGCUUUUUUCACUUUUAAUAUAUCUCUCCAGUUUUUAGGGAUAGGAAUUACGCUUCACUUUUUUCAUUCUUUUUUCUCUUUCACAUAUGUGGGCUUUUUUCUUUUCCCAGUACAUUAAAGUUGAUAAUUUAAAUGCAAUCGAAAUUAUACAAGCAAAGCCUCUGCUAGUCAUUUGAGUUGAACCAAUUUACAUCAGUCAACUAAAAGAAAAAAGGUGGGGGCAGGGAAGGACAUAGAAUAUUCUUUUCUCAUCUCUUUCCUAUUAUAGUUGACAUUUUCCAGGGAAUGAGGAGUAAUUAUAAACUACACUUCAAGAAGAGUUUAGGGGAAAAACCGCUUAAUGCUAUAAUUUGUCAGCUCAGAACUACCAAAUUCUCAAUAAUAUGAAUGGAGCCGGCCCUUCAGGCAGUUUUCCAGGGAUGGCAGACCUCCUCUAAUACUUUUUUUUUUUUUCACAUUAAAAAUGUCAGAUUACCUAAAAGACCAACAGACAAAUGUUUCAAUAUUACUUGGGGAUAGUCUUAUCUUAUAAUCACCUAUACAAUUAUUAAUGCCAUAUUUUUAUAUUGCAUGUUAGUCAAAAGGUGGACAAGACUAUAUUUAAAAACUUGGGGGGAUAAAAUUUAUAGUGUCUUUUAUGAAAGGUGUUUCACUGAAACUACAAAAAAAGUAGAUCCUUUCCUUUCAAAUAGCACGAUGAAUAUAUCUGUGACUUUUCUCAUGGAACUUUAAAAUACACAAAGACCUGAGCUAAUAAAAUUGCUUCAGAAUAACAACUGGGCAGUGGAUUAUAAAGUUUGCACCAGUUCAUGCAGUCAUUCAUUCAUCAAGAUUAAGCACCUAUCUCACGUCAAGCACCAUGAAAGCUUUGAAGAUUUAAAGAAAAAUAAGCCAUGCACUUUUCUUUAAGAAGUGCAUGAUUUAUUGAGAUAGACAGACACAUAAAUAAUUAUAGUCACUGUUGUAAGUGCUAUAAUGCAGACAUUGGAAAGUUUUACGCAAGUCCAGAAGACAGGGCAACACAUUUUGUCUGCGGAAGUAAAGAAAGUCUUGGGAAGUUCUUAAAGAGAAAAGAGAGAUGCUACAUUAGUGGUGGGUGUGGGAAAGGGGGAAGGCAGCAAGGAGGCACAGAAACAGAAAGAUGUAGGGAAAGGAAAUAGGACUUCUGAAGACAUGUUUGUGUUUAGCAUGGCUGGCAUGUGAAGAGGAAUCUUACAAAGGUGACAUUGGUAAAGAAAAGUUGGAUGGAGCAUUCUUGUGAAUACUUGGGAGAGACUGCUAAUAUAACAGAGAUCAUGGACCAGGAACAGAACUAUGAAAGAGGCCAGAAGGCAUUCUGUCACCAUCAUUUUAGGAUCAGGCUUCCAUUCCUAAGCCUCAUACAUAAGAAAAUCUACUUUUGGAGGUUGAGUGUUCAAGAAUCUUGACCCAUGUCUGAAAAUUUAGUGAGAAAAGGAGAAGUCAAAAUAUUUCUUUUCAAAGCAAUAAGGAGAUUUUGGUUUGGUUUUAUUUGUUGAAAGAGGAAACUUGUCUACACUGUUAGAGAGAAUUGUUUCCUUGUGCUAAAAUCAAUUAAGCAGGGUAUUAGUUUGGCAAAUGAGAAGAAAAACUACAAGCUGAAAUGUAUUUGUUUGAGACUAUGUAGAUCAAAGGAGCAUUUUACUAGACAAUAUAAGGGAUGGUCUGGAAGGAAGGAAGGGAAAGAGUCUAUGAGAUACUUUUUUAAAGUAGGGAUUAAGGUUCACUUGCUGCUUUUCGAGUAUGAAUCUCAGCUCAAAGUUUUCUUUUACUUGUGUUACUCUAAUUUACUUUAGACUCUUAGCUCUGGGAUAUCAGAAAGCUAACCUUUAGUCUUUUUGAUGAGCUCCCUUCCCACAACACUAUGCUUUAUUUCUGGGGUUCUCUUCACUGUUAAAUUCUGGGAUCACAUCUUGGGUAGGAGGAAGGAGGUGCAGAUAGGAAGAUGUCUCUAGUCUUUGAUCAUUUGUUUACACAAGAUUUUAGAGAUGCCUGCUACCCUCGUCCACCAAACUUCUUCAGGUUGGUGACUGCCUGAUGCUUCCAGGUCACCCCAGAGGCCUGAAAUUCAUACACUGUGGUCCAAACUAUAUCAUAAAGCUAUUUGUUUCUAGGGUCUUACUUUCUCAUUGAUGAGUUGAUUGUCACAUUCUAUGACACAAACACAUUUUUUCUAGUUGUAACAUGAAACCAUUUCUCUCUAGAGUCUUGCUACCUCCUUAGUGAAGUUAUUGGAACCCAGCUUGGCCUUUUUUGGCUCCUGAGAUUUUUCUAUUUUGGAGAAACUCACUUCCUUAUGUAGUUGGGAAGCUCCACUCAUAAACCAAUUUCCAUAGCAAAGGUUUAAAUAAUCUUUUGUGUUUUCUCUCAAGAUCAUCUAUAGUGAUUUAUUGCUUAGACCAUUUACUUUGGCAAUUUACUACCUACCGUAUACUAUCCCUUGGGCAAGGAAGUAGUUAGCAUAUCAGUGAUCUAUUUGAAUGGGGAAAAGUGAUAGGGAGAAACCUGUGAGGUGAAUGAAUUAAAAUUUCAAAAUACUAUUUUGACAACUCAUUUCCCAGUAAAAUCCAUGCUUCCUUAAAACAAAAAUGAUAUUUGCUCCCACACCCAACCCCUAAGUUGAAGAUGGAAUUUAUAUUCCUGAACUCAAUGGAUUAUUUAGGAAAGUGUAUCCUACAUUUACAGCAUCACCUACUUUGAAAGCUGAGACUGUUCACAGGGUAAAUUAUUCAACUUGCUCACCUGGGGUGGAGGAUAAUAAUACUGCUGUAUUGAGCACACACUCUGUGCCAUGUACUCUGCUGAGUCUUUUACAUGAAUGAUUUCAUUUAAUUAUCACAGUAGCUAUAUGAAAAAGGUAAUAUCAUUAUCCUUUUUUUUUUUUAACAGAUCAAUAAAUGAGACAGAGACAGGUUACAUAAUUUUUCAAGCUCCAGCAGUAGAAAGUAUUGUAGUUACUGGUUGUGACUCCAACCAGUUAGUCUCUGGAGCCCAUGGUCUUGACCACUAUGCUAUGCUAAGAUAUGCACUCCACACCUCUCAGGGCAAAACAGAGAUUAAAAAAAAAACAAAAAACAAAAACAAGCAAACAAAAACAAACAAACAAAAACCCAACAAAACAAAACAAAAAACACAGAAUCAGUAGAAUUUUCUCUGAGACUUGAUAAGACAAUCAGCCAUCUUUAGUUUCAAUUCUGCUGUGUAAGCAUUCAAUUUUGGUAGAAAGUAGGGGUUUAAUCCCAUCAGGAGUUUUUAUUAUGCCCUCUUAAUACUCUUUGUUGUUUCUCUACAGUUUGGGUAGACUUUUACCCCUCCUGUCUAGAGGAAAGCCCUACUCUCUACCCUCACAGCUACUGAGUUUCUCCAAAUAACAUUCUCCAAACCCAUACAUCUUCUUCUCUUGGUAUUUCUUUUAGAAACACUUCACUUAAUCUCAUCAGAGUACUUAAGACUUAAAACAACCUAUUAUCCUAGAAACAUAUUACCCUUAAAACAUGUUCAGAAAGGCCUGCUAUCCUGUUGAACAGGAGGAAGUUAAAACAAAACAAAAAUAAGACAAAAACAGGAAAGUAAUUAAAAAUAAUAAUAAUAAACCCACAUUUGUUUUAGUGGAGUAUGUAUGAAAGUGUAUUUUUGUGUUGUUUGAUCAUUUAUUAAUGAGAACAAAAGGAACGAUUGUCAUAGACUCUGAGUCUAGAGUUCUCUCUUGUCUAGCAAGAGAGCAGGACACAUGAUGAAACACAAGAAAUGGCUAAUGUCUGGGAAAAGACAGGAGCCCCAAAUAAGGGUCCUUGACCCAUUUUUAUUAGGAUCAGAAGGCUUACAAACAUGACAAUGGACACGCACAAAGAGACAAUGAAUCUAUGAACAUUAACUUGUGGUCGUGAGGAAAAGGGGGUCUUGAAGAUAUUUGGGGUUAAGGGUUUGGGUUAAUAGGAAGCAAAAUCCUGAUGCUGGGCAGUAGGGUGGAAGGUUGUUUACAGUGGACAUGAGGCACCACCUCUGUUUAUCUUAGCUAGCCUAGGGGAUGAGACAGGUAGGGGAAAUAACUUCAGAGUUAACAAGGCACCUUUUCUUUCGUUAAUCAUCUCCUCUCUGGGCUGCUUUACCUGCAUCACAGCAGGUCUAUAGUACAAUUUACCUGUUUACCUAACUUGCUUGUUUCUUCCUGUGAAAGCAGCUUUCUGCUAUAGUACUAAAUUGGGGGUGCUUCCAUCCUAAAUAUCUAAUCUUGUUUAUUUCCUUUACCUAUGUAUUGGGCACCUUUGUGCCCUUAUUUUUGGGCUUUGCCCCUCCCUCUCUAUUCUGGGGGCUCUGCACCCCCUCUUUAUUCUGAGGUGCCUUUGCACCUCCCUAUUCUUGGUUUCCUUAUCUUGUUUAUCCAAACUCGGGUGUGAGCAUCCUAUGGCUUUGUAAUUCUUUAUGCCUUUUUAACCCAUUGAUGUAAGCCCAGGGAAUUUCUAAGCUUAUUCCCCACAAACGAUGUUCAGAAUUUUGUGAGAAUUAGGACACGAUUCUAAUGGUGCCAUUUCAAUUCUAGUGGUGCCAUUUCAACACCAAGAUAUCAAAGCAGCUCACCAAGUUGGAGAAGAAAGGCUUUUACAUACUUCCAGGUUGAAACCAGAAUUUCUUUACCAACCCAUCCUGUGACAAAUGUGUGUGCACAGAGGGACAGCAUCCAGUAGAGGCUGUGCCAAGAAGAGUAACAUUAUCAUAGAGAGCUCACAUCCCCAGGACAUAGAGGGGAGACCAAGCCAGGCUUAGUUCUGGAUUCAUCUGAGACCCUUCAUUCUGGAUACUCUUGAAUAUAAUGGGAGUAGAAUGAAGGAAAGUGGACCUUGAAUAUUAGAUGGAGGGUUACAGUCAUUUCAAUUUAGGCCCUAAGAUAAAAGUGGCUUUCAUUAGAGUGCAAUUCUUGUGAUGUACACAUUAUGCUAUUGGACAGAGGAACUUAAACUGAAAGUUAGCAUCUGUUAAACAGAAAAAUAGCAUCUGAUAUGAGACAGCAUUUGUGUUUCAGGAACAACAGAAAAAAAAUCUAUGAAAUGAUGAAAAUCUGUACUAGGAGAGUAGUAACAAAAAACAAAUAAAUUUAUAAUUUAGAGACAGUUGUGAGAUGUUAACUUAUUGCAUGUGGAACAUCAAGAAGAGGAAGAAACUGGAGGUGAUUGCCAUGGAACUACAUAUAUGGUGAUGCUGUAAACCAGUAUGAGCAAUAUAAGAAGUAAAGGAACAUAAUUUCCAGAGAAGACAAUGAAUUCCAUGUGGGACCCAUUUAUUUAUAUUUCCUGUCCAAUAUCCUUCAAAAGAUAGAAAUUGGCAGUUAGGAACUUGAUAAUUAAUAAAGCUCAGUAAAGAGAUCAAUGGUAGAAGAUUGAGUGAUAAGAAAGAAAAUGUCAUUGGUGAACAAGUGGGUUAGUAAGCUACCAAGUUAAUUAUAUAAUCAAGAGAAAAACCAUGUAAAAUAUAAGAAAAUGACCCAAGAUAGAAUGGUAGGAGAUGAGAACAUUCAAAGAAUGGAUUUAGGAAAGGAGGCAGAGGAGCCCUGAUCACAGAGAAAGUUGUGGGUAGGAGAAGGCUAGGAAAAGAAUUGGAAACCUGAUGCCACAACAUGAGCAUUUAAAGAAGUAGGAAGCUGCGAUAUAAUGUCACAGAGAGAUCAAAUAAGAUGAGAAGUGAGAAUGUGUGUGUUCGAUUUUGGUGGUCGUUAAACCAAUGGGAGGGAUUUUUCUAGAGUGAUGUACAUAAAUGAGAUUGUAAAAAGUUGUUGAGGUAGUAAAGAUCAGACUAUGGAUUGUACUUUUAAGAAGUCUGUGUAUGAAGAAGAAUGAUUUGGGAAUCCACCAAAAAUAAUAAGAGAAUUUUGAAAAAAAUUAAUAUUUUUGAAUAUUAUUUUUGAAAUAGAAGCUAGAAAUUUACCCACUUCAGAUGGAACAUAGAAAGAAUAAAUCCUAAGAAUAAAAUUUAUUCCAUAGAUUUAUUUGAUUGUCAUAAGAGCUAACUCUAUACCACCACUUUUCAGAGGAUCAGAAACAUCUUGCCAUAAUACAUUAUAAUGACCAACAUGUUUGUCUUUGUAGCUCUCUUCCAUUUCUCUGAGUAUACAUAUUCUUAAUCUUCAGAAUCUGUUUCUGUAUCAGAAAUUUAUCUUACCCCAGGGAAAAACCUAUUCCGGGGACAGUGUUAAAAUAUCUAAGAGCUUAAGUGACCCAGUCUAAACAACUGUAUUGCUAUUUUUUUCUACAUUGGGUUUAGCUCUAUAAGGUGCUGUAACCACAUUCUUACUUUACCUGCCUAGUCUAGUAACUGAUGCUCUUUCUUGAAUACCGGAGUGUCUAAGAACCCAUGAUAAUUUCUUGCUAGAUCUCCCUGAGUGUGUUUUGUUUGAACUAUUGCCAGCACACUCUUCAGAUGAAUAUCUGCCUGCAUUGAGAACACCUAAAUUCCUGCAUCUUUUCAAAGGGCUAGUCUCAUUUCUAAAUUCUAAGAUUUCCCAUGCAAGCCUGACUCUAGUGGUUCUGAACCUGGAAUCUGACUUGUUCAGACUCUUCUUUAUGUCUUUUUCCUCCUUUCUUAUUGUAUAAGUUUUCAGAAUGAUAGGUUUAGUGAUGAACUGGGAGUGGAGGUGGUUGUCAUAUUUCUAGAUGGGGGGAGAGAUCAAGUUCCCUGUUGUUCAUGACUGUCAUGUAAGUAAAGAACAGUUACUUUCUAGGCCACUGUAAGUUAUUUUCUUCACCAUUUUUUAAGCAUUACAAGGAAAGAGUAAAAAGUCCAAACUUGAGAAAAGAAAACCUAAAGGGUCAAGAAAAGUUGCACUUCUCUGCAAUGUAGAAACGGGGAAAUGUAGAAUAAGGAGAUGAUUAUAAGUAAGGGAAAUAGUACACGGUAUUAAGAAGUGGUAGAAUAAUAUCAGCUGUGCUACAGCAGACUUACUGUAUAUUGACACUGCUUUAUUUGGUAUGCCAUAUUUGGAAAAAUAAUCACCUAAUAUUGCUAGACUUUUGUAAAGUGAAAGGAAAAAAAAAUAUUUGCCUUCAUUUUGGAGUCUUUGAAUGAAGGACCCUAUUAUAUGCUCACAUUAUCAUUAAUGCACAGGAAAACAUAUCCCAUUACUUCAAGUGGUUUAGUGGCCAACAUGUACAUUUAAUAUGGGUUUGUCUAAAUCAGUGUCCAUGUGCACUGUUAAACAGGAAAAAAAAAACAAAAAACAAAAAACAUAAAAACAAGAAAACAAAACUUCCAUUAGUUUGGGCUAGAAUAAUUGAGCCCAUUUAUACUCAACAGUCUACUGGCAAGUGACCUGUAUAGCCUGCUGAGAGAAAUCAGUUUGAUGUGGGCCUUCUCCCAAUGUCUGUAGUUAUUGGAAAUACUUCCCUGUUGUUAUAUCUCUUAGUUUUACAUCCCAUGUAGAGCUUACUCUCUCUUAACUCUGCAUGGGCAGGAUGAAUUUUGAAAAAAAAAAUUAGUUUGCAAUCUGACUAUCCUUUGGUGGAUAGUCAUCAUAUCUUUUUCUGAUUUAGUCAUUUUAUUUGUCUGUUGUCAUGGUACUAGGGUCGUCUCUAUCUUCAUGGAUGAUUAAAAGUAUAAUCUUCUCUGAAAACUGUGUGCUAAAUUUAUAUCACAUUAAUAAUCUAGUAAUUAUUGCGGCACCUGGGUGGCUUCGUCAGUUAAGUGUCCAACUCUUGGUUUCGGCUCAAGUUAUGAUCAUAUGGCUUGUGAGUUCGAGCCCCUGUGCUGACAGCACAGAACCUGCUUGGAAUUUUCUUUCUCCUUUUGUCUCUCUCUCUCAGAAUAAAUAAAUAAAAUAAAAUAAAUAAGUAAUUAUUAUUUUAAGGCAAUUCCUGUAUCUUAAAACAUGAAAUAUUCCCUUCCAUAGAAGGGUGCAAUUGAGCAAAAAGUUAAUUAAGAACAAAAAUGAUGAAGUAAUGAUUCAAUACUUCAAUAUUUUAAUCAAUGCAGGCUCUUAAACCAAAUGAUCAGACCCAAUACAAAAUUUUAAAGCUCAACUUACAUGAUUUCAUAAAGAAAUAUAUUAAUGUUUAAUGAGUCACAUACUUUUAAUUGUCUUACCAAAAGAAAAAUGUGGUAGUCCACAAUUAAGUGAGUAGAUCAUGUUUUUACAGAAUGCUUACAACUCACACUGGGGAGGCUGUUUUGAAAGGAUUACCUAAUAAAAAGGGAGAAAGAACAAGCGGUUACUAAUGUAUAUCAAUACCAAACAUAACUCAGUUACCCUGUCUGGAAGUCAAAAUCUAUUACACUGUCAUGAAACAGAUGGAUUUUCUAUUUUCCAAUUAUAGUCAUGAUUUUUACUGAGGUCAAUACACACAAAUGUUAUGGGACUUUCAUAAUAUUUUUUCCCAGAGAAAUAUAUGGAUUUUAAGUGCCACACAGUACAUUCCAGUAUAUAAAAAUGGUAGCAAAGAUAAAAAUUUAUGAGAAUCAGAAGCAACAGUCGCACUGAGGAAAAAAUGUUAUGCAUGGAAUUACAUCUUCCUACAUUUAAUUAUUCCUUAGGCAUCCUAAUGAAAUCAGAAUCUUCCUCUCAUAAUUUAUGUCUGCUUUCUAAAAAUGCUUUCUUCGGUAUUAAAAAAAACCUAUUGAUUUCAUAUCAUUAUUUUAAAGGUUAAUCUUAGGCUUUUAAUUAUUUACGUAUUUACUUAUUUAUUAUUUGUGUUUUGCAUUGUAGUUUAGAACUAAACAAAAUACGGUGCAAAUUUUCAUGAGCUUAUAAUUCUAAAAUCACUUUUUUAGCUUUUAAUUUUUUUUAAUUUUUAUGACAAUUACCAACCUCUUCUAAACUGAGAAGAAAAGUUCAAAAUUAGUUUUGAAAAUAAGUUGCUGACCUAAUAGCCCACCACCAUCAAACAAUUUGAGUGUUUAACUCCUACAGACAAAGCCAAUCUGCUAUAUAACCACAGCACAGAGCACACCACCGCCAAAACCAGAAUACUAUUUAUGCAUGACUGUCAUUGAAUCCUCAGAUCCCAUGCCAAUUUCUUCAGUUGCCCUAAUAAUGACUUCCACAGAAAACUUCCAGCAUAUCAUCAUAGGCUGCAUUUCAUUGGCAUGUCUUUUUAUAUUCCUUGGUCUUUCUUUGACUUUUCAUGACCUCGAUAUUCUGAAGAUUGUAAGCUACUUAUUUUGCAUAACGUAUUUCAAUUUGUGUCUAGAUUUCGGUUAUGGAUUUGGGGUGGUAAUAUCACGCAACGAUGUUGUGCUUUUUCUCACUGCCUCUUAUGAAGUAACACACAAUUUCAGUCUGUCCCAUUACUGCCGAUGUUCAGUUUGAUCAUUUGAUUAAGAAAAUGUUAGCCAAGCUUUUCUACUGUUAAGUUGUGCUAUAACUCUGUAAUUAAUACAUGCUUUAUGAGGAAGUAUUUUGAAAUGAUAAAUAUCCCAUUCUUCAUCAAGUUUUCAAUAUACCCAUCAUUUUAUAUUUCUAUUGACUCGCCAUUUGCUGUUUUGUUCAAUGAAUUAAGUCCAUUAUUAUUGCUGUGUAUUUUGAUGAUCUAAUCCUUAUUUGGUUAGCAGGACCCCAUUUAAGCAGACUUCUGGGGGUUUACCCACCAUUUUUUGAGCCCUUUUUGACACUGCAUACAUUCCAGACUCAAUUUGUUCUUUCUUUGCUAAAUUCUGAUUUAAAAUAUAGGAUGCUUCACACUACAUCUAUUUAUAAAUGAUUUGUGCAAGGAAGAGAAAAGUUUUCCUAUUGAGAAGCUAAACCUCCAGAGCAGAUUCACACUUUUGAUAUACUUCAUUUUUUAAAUUGUUUUUAAUGUUUAUUUUUGAUUUUUGAAAGGGAGAGAGAGAGAAAGAGGACAAGAGGGAGAGGGGCAGAGAGAGAGGGAGACAUGAAUCCAAAGCAGGCUCCAGGCUCUGAGCUGUCAGCACAGAGCCCUACACAUGGCUCAAACUCACACACUGCAAGAUCAUGACCUGAUCUGAAGUCGGAUGCUUAACCAACUGAGCCACUCAGACCCCUGAUAUAAUUCAUUUUUCUCCAUAACACACAAGCUGUAUAAGACACCUAAAUGAAAUUUGAAUGAGGCAUUUUUUCUAUCUAUCUGGAAUUAACGGUGGAAACAAAACAAAGCAAAACACAACAAAAUAAACAAACAAUAUGUUACCGAAAAGAAAAGGUCAGAUCAAGUUCUAAAUGCCAAAAUGACUUAUGAAAACUGUUUCAGAACUUUGUGUAAAAGAUUAGAAACAUGAAUAUAUGUUUAAUUUUGAAAAAAAAAUUACCCAGACACUGGAAUAUGUAUAUAAAGAUUGUAUAAAGAAUUAGUUUCAUGUUGCAAUUCACAAAUAAUUUAGAGUAACUGAUUUACAUGCUACUAUUGUCAAGAAGAGUCAGCCAAAAAGGACACAUUUGGAGAAGACAUCAUGCAAGUAAAAAAUUUUGCAAAAUAUCUUAGUUUACACUAAAAUAUUAGACCUAAGUGUCCAAUAAGCCUGUUAUUUAGUUUAUGCUUGCUGUGUCAAAACACACUUCUCAAGAAUUGGCAAACCUAAUCUGAACCUAAUCCAAUAUGCUAAUCUCUGAGAGGAACCGGUUUACUGAGUGAUGAGUAAAUCCCUGAGAACUGAAGUCUGAAUGAGCCUGCAAAUAGGAAGCCUAGGACCCAGGGCUCCACAGACCAGUGGCCAGACCUGCCACGAACAGAAAUAACCAUUAUGUACUCAUCAGGCUUUAUGAGACCGUUCAGAUAUAAACAGCACGAGUAGCAGCAAAUCCAGUCUUUCCACACCUCUCUUCUCUGUAUCUGUGGCUAAAACCUGAGCCAAUGACCACUGAGAUUUGUAACACCCUUGUGCAGUAACAGAGGCCAGACGGUCAUUAAAUUGGAUAUAAACAAGGCAGGAAUUAAGAAUGGGGCAUGGGCCCUCUGGACCUCCUAUGAAACCAUCUGGAGAAAACCCAGAUUUCCCAGAUUGUAAUCUUAGGCCCUAGAGUUCAUAUCAGCAGCUCUGCUCCAAAAUAAAUGAAGAUAAGCACAUUUGUGUGAGGAUGGGGAAAAAAUAAAAAAAAUACCACUAAGCAAUAGGACACAUACAGUACAUUUCGAAUUUCCCAGGCUCACUCUAACUUUGCAUACAUUUAUGUGGGUAUCUCUCACUCUCAUUUUGUCAAUAUAUCUGUAUAUUUACUCACACAUGAAGUUGACGCAAAUUAAUUUUAACAAUCAGUAUAUUUUUAUUAAUUAAAUAAAUUUUAAUUUUAUGCAAGAAAACUAAAGAAAUCUACCUAAAAAGGACAUUAGCUCUCAUAAAGUUUUAAAAUCACUCUUCAAGUUAAGUCCCACUGUGUUUAAUGGAAACAAUUCCUCAGGGCACACCUCCUCAGUGGAACCCUCUGUGAUCUCAUCUUUCCAGGUCGGUCCAGCCCAAGGAGAGUCGUUCAGGUAACAGUGACCUAAAACAGAUUAUAAAUCCAGCCACAGAGAAGACCUCAGUGCUGCUCCAUUAUUACAGUACAUUAUCAUAGUAUUAAACAUAGAAGCAAAAUUUUCAUAUAAUUAAUGAAUCUGAGGCUUUAGAGACGCUCAUUUCCAUGGACCACUUCCACAGCACUGAGAGGCCCCACAAUUUCAUAUUUAUAGUUUAUUAUAUAUCUUAAAUGAGACCCCUCAAAUUGCAUAAUUUUCAAGCUCCCAAAAGCAUAUGUGAGUAAAAUUAUCCUAUUACCUCCUAGCCAAAUUUGUUUCUAGGCAGGAUAUACAGUUGUUCUUUCAUACACUCAAAUGAUGUCUAAUCAGCACUGACCUUGUAUUAGGGAGUGAGGCUGUAAGCUAAAAUGUGUGAAAAAAAGAAAAAAAAGUCACAAUUGGCUAUCAAAGAGUUUAUAUUUUGGUAGAAGCAGAAACAAAACAUAAAGAAUAGGAAGUUAAAUUAUUACAAACAGUGGCCCCUUACCCAACACAUUCAGGUUUGCAGAAAACUAGAAGGAGAGUUCAAUACAAAAAGGCAGUAGGUCAUUGAAACACACGUCGGACUUCGGAGUAUGCCAGGACUAUAUUUAUAUUGUUGUUAAGAUAUCUUUUUUGGAUAGUGCUGUCUAAAUUUACUAGAGGUCUUUAGGGGGAUGUAACAUAAUGGGCAUAAGACAGGAAACGUUUGGUAAACUAACAUCAUUUAAACAAGAAAAAAAGUUAUUAUUCAUACUUGAAUGCCACAUUGUGUAUUGAAAGCAUAAUGACCCUUCUUAAUCAGGUUGUGGAAAGCCAUAAAAUGCCACCCAAAUUUAACUGUUACUUCAAAGCUAAAGAGGAUGUGUGGUGUGUGUGUGUGUGUGUGUGUGUGUGUGUGUGUGUGUGUGUGUCUUCAUUAGGUAUAUAGACUUUUCUCUGGUAGUCUGAAAUCUCAAUUCACUCUAGUGUAUACACUUUUCUUGAUAAUUUCUAUUGAGUUCUUAAGAUGAAGUUAGAAAUAGAGCAACAUAAUAUUACACUUCUUUAAAUGCCAUGUACUUUAAUUUUACUAAUAAUUGAUUAACAAUUUCACAAAUGUGUCACAUCAGGAUUUUAUUCAAACAGUGUGUGAAUUGCAAAUAUCUUCUAAAAUAACUUAUAUGUGAUACACGCACAGUAUUUGGCCCUCUGUUGACAUUAAGAACAAAUUUAAAUUAAAAGCAAUUCCAAUAAAAGUUGAUAAUUUUUUAUUUCUGUUGUGUUGGUUGUGAUCUCUCCUCUUUCAUUCUUGAUUUUAUUUAUCUGGGUCCUUUCCUUUUUCUUCUUGAUCAAACUGGCCAGUGGUUUAUCAAUUGUGUUAAUUCUUUCAUAGAACCAGCUUCUGGUUUCAUUGAUCUGUUCUACUGUUUUUUUUUUUGGUUUUGAUAGCAUUAAUUGCUGCUCUAAUCUUUACUAUUUCCUGUCUUCUGCUGGUUUUGGGUUUCAUUUGCUGUCCUUUUUCCAGCUUCUUAAGGCGUAAGGUUAGGUUGUGUAUCUGAGAUAUUUUUUCCUUCUUUAGGAAACCCUGGAUUGCUAUAUACUUUCCUCUUAUGACCGCCUUUGCUGCAUCCCAGAGGUUUUGGGUUGUGGUGUUAUCAUUUUCAUUGACUUCCAUAUACUUUUUAAUUUCCUCUUUAACUGCUUGGUUAGCCCAUUCAUUCUUUAGUAGGAUGUUCUUCAGUCUCCAAGUAUUUGUUACCUUUCCAAAUUUUUUCUUGUGAUUGAUUUCAAGUUUCAUAGCGUUGGAGUCUAAAAUAUGCACAGUAUGAUCUCGACCUUUUUGUAUUUGUUGAGGGCUGAUUUGUGUCCCAGUAUGUGGUCUAUUCUGGAGAAUGUUCCAUGUGCACUGGAGAAGAAUGUAUAUUCUGCUGCUUUAGGAUGAAAUGUUCUGAAUAUAUCUGUUAAGUCCAUCUGGUCCAGUGUGUCAUUCAAAGCCAUUGUUUCCUUGUUGAUUUUUUGAUUAGAUGAUCUGUCCAUUGCUGUGAGUGGGGUGUUGAAGUCUCCUACUAUUAUGGUAUUACUAUCGAUGAGUUUCUUUAUGUUUGUGAUUAAUUGAUUUAUAUAUUUGGGNGAUAGCAUUAAUUUCUGCUCUAAUCUUUAUUAUUUCCUGUCUUCUGCUGGUUUUGGGUUUUAUUUGCUGUUCUUUUUCCAGCUCCUUAAGGCGUAAGGUUAGGUUGUGUAUCUGAGAUCUUUCUUCCUUCUUUAGGAAGGCCUGGAUUGCUGUAUACUUUCCUCUUAUGACCUCCUUUGUUGCAUCUCAGAGGUUUUGGGAUGUGGUAUUAUCAUUUUCAUUGACUUCGAUAAGCUUUUUAAUUUCCCUCUUAACUGCUGGGUUAGCCCAUUCAUUCUUUAGUAGGAUGUUCUUCAGUCUCCAAGUAUUUGUUACCUUUCCAAAUUUUUUCUUGUGAUUGAUUUCAAGUUUCAUAGCAUUGUGGUCUGAAAAUAUGCACGGUAUCUCGAUCUUUUGGUACUUACUUAGGGCUGAUUUGUGUCCCAGUAUAUGGUCUAUUCUGGAGAACGUUCCAUGUGCACUGGAGAAGAAUGUAUAUUCUGCUGCUUUAGGAUGAAAUGUUCUGAAUGUAUCUGUUAAGUCCAUCUGGUCCAAUGUGUCAUUCAAAGCCAUUGUUUCCUUGUUGAUUUUUUGAUUAGAUGAUCUGUCCAUUGCUGUGAGUGGGGUGUUGAAGUCUCCUAUUAUUAAGGUAUUACUAUCGAUGAGUUUCUUUAUGUUUGUGAUUAAUUGAUUUAUAUAUUUGGGUGCUCCCACAUAUCUACUCCUGAAAUCAAUGUUUCACUAUAUGCUAACUAAUUUGGAGGUAAAUUUAAAAAAAAUAAAAAAAUUAAAUUAAAAAAAGAAAUUAUCAAUUGAAAUUGAAAAAAAAGAUAAUUUUUUAAAUAUUUGUAUACAAUUAAACUCAACUUUAAAACAAAUUGCUUACCACUGCCUCAGCUAUUCACAGCAAAUAUGGCAUUCAUAAACUUCAACUAUGUGAAGAAUACGUUUGUCUCCCUUAUACGAGUCAUGUUCUUGUAACAGAGGUAUACUCUGGGCUAAUUACUCAUCCAAGAAUCAUACAUUCAGUACCUAAAAUGCAUCAGGUAAUAGGUUAGGCUCCUCUCACAAUAAACUUGAAAACCUGUGGAGAUAGACACAUAAACACAAAAAUUAGAGCAUGGCAUAGAAAGUACCAUCACCUAAGUAAGAACAAAAUGUUGUCACAGAAUACUGAAGAUAGAACCAGUCACUCCACCACUGGCCACGAGGUGAAUCUCCAAGAGGAAAUGUCAAUUUCUAUCUUUUAAAGAAAAAGUUGGAGCUUUCAGCUAAAGAAGGAGAUGGAUUUUUCAGGCAGGGGAAACAGAUGGCAAAGUGACAUGAAGUCAUGGCAAAACCUGGUGUACUUAGGGAAUGACAGAUUCUGUGACUGGAUUUAAGAAAUGGCUCAAACAGGUGCUGAAGAGGUUGGUAAGAUAAACCGCAGUCAGACUGUGGAGGGCAAGACACAGUCCGCUGGACAACAGAAUGCCAGGAGAGGUUUGAAGCUGGAAAAUGACAUAAUCAGACUUAUUUUGUAGAUCUGCAGUGCUUUGGCAAUGUGGGUAAUGAAAUAUAAGUGGGAAGGGGCGCCUGGGUGGCUUGGUUGGUUAAGUGUCUGACUCUUGGUUUUGGCUCUGAUCAUGGUCUCACGGUUCGUGAGUUCGGGCUGAAUCAGGCUCCACAAUGACAACACAGAGACUGCUUGGGAUUCCUCUCUCCCUCUCUCUCUCUCUGUCCCUCACCACCUCUCUCUCUCUCUCUCUCUGUCUCUCAAAAUAAAUAAAUAAAAAGAAGUAUAAGUGGUAAAAAGUGACGAAAGGCAUGACCAGAUGAGAGGCAUCUGACUCAGACCCUGUAAGAGAUGGCAUGGCUUUGACAUAAAGGCAGUGGAAAUAAGGGCGGAGAGGAGACGUUAGGAUUUUAAGACGAUGCUGAGGUAGAUUCUCUAGUAUUUGAUGACAAGUUUACACCAGUCAUGAGAGUAGUGGAAGAAUUCAUUUAGAUUAUAUCUGCUUGCUCAAAACAUUUAGAAUUCUCUUAAUUGAGACAUAGAGGGCAAUAAGACUAGAAAGAAAAUCUAUUUUGAACAUACUGAGUUUGAGGUUUCUUGAAAUAUUCCGGGUAAAACAGAAAUUUGUCUCCAAAUUGAUAGGCUGAUAUGAUAGCCUCCGGUUCCUAUGCAUACUCCAUCAGAUCCAUUUUCUGCAUUGCUGUCAAAAUGACUUUACAAAGUUUCAGCUCUGAACAUGCCAUUCCUUUCCAUCUUUCACUGGCUCCAUAUUAACGUAGAAAAAAGAGUUUCAGGUUCUAUUCAGAACAACACAAUCUGGACCCACUUGCUUCUCUAGCCUCUCCUUUGCUGGGCUCCUUAAAAAAAAAAAAAAAACAAAACAAAAACAAAAAGACAAAAAUAAAAACAAAGAAACAAAAAGCAUUUGCUUCAGGUAAAGUGAUUUAAUGCUCUUUCACACUUUCCUCACCUUAGUUUUUCUGGCUGUUCAUUCUGCCUGGAAUGCCCCAACAAACAAAGACUUUUUCUAAGACUCAGAUCAAGAGUUGUCACCAUCACACCUUUGCUAAAGUUAGAACUGAGCAUCCCUCUGUGCAGUGGAGGUGCCCAUUCGUGCACUUCGCAUGCCUGUAACCCCUUAGUGCUCAACAUGUAUUCCACUAGGACACCAGGUACAGUAAAACACUGUUUUUACUUCUCCAGUGCAUUGCACAGUGGUUGCGUUUGGAAGGAAGGAGAGAAAAAAGAUUAAUAGAAUGAAGGGGAGAUAUUAAAGUGCACAUGUCUUCAAAAAUAAUUCUACUCUGAAAAGUGUAUUCUACAGAGGGGACAUCUGUGCACAGACACAUGCAGAAAAAUGUUAACCGUGUUGGUGUUAGUGGUACCAAUCAAUGAGAAACGAGCUAAAUGACCAUCAAUGGAAUAUUGGUUAAAUAAAUUUUGAUACAGCCAAAUAAUGAAAUACUUUUAAGUUAUUCAUAGAAUGUGGUGUAUGUAUGUGUGUCAGGUAAAAACAAAAAGAGUAUGAAAUGAAUAGUGAAAAUUAUUGAGUACAGUAUAUUCCUGUUUUUGUUUUUUUUUUAAUAUUUAUUUAUUUUUGAGAGACAAGGAGGCAGAGCAUGAAUUGGGGGAGGAGCAGAGAGAGCAGUAGAUACAGAAUCUGAAACAGGAUCUAGUCUCUGAGCUGUCAGCACAGAGCCCCAUAUGGGGCUGGAACUCAUAAGCUGUGAGAUAAUAGGCUGAGCCGAUGUCAGCCACUUAACUGACUGAGCCACCCAGGCACCUCUAGUAUGUUCCUGUUUUAAUUAAAGAUCAGGACUGUCAUAAAAAAAAAUUACUAUAAAUGUUGUGGCUUAAAACCAGAGAAAUUUAUGGGGCACCUGGGUGGCUCAGUCAGUUAAGCAUCAGAUUCCUGAUAUUGGCUCCGGUCAUGAUCUCACACUUUGUGGGAUCAAGCCGUGUGUUGGGCUCUGUGUUGACAGCACAGAUCCUGCUUGGGAUUCUCUCUCUCCCUCUCUCUGCCCCUAUCCCACUUGCACUCUUUCUUUCAAAAUAAAGAAGUAAACAUUUAAAAUAAUAAUAAAGAAAACCACAGAAAUGCAUUGUCUUCCAGUUCUGGAGGCCAGAAGUUUUAAAUCAAGGUGUCAGCAGGGCUGCGUUCCUCCCAAAGACUCUAGGGAAAAUUAAUUAAACGUCUCUUUUAUCUCUUGGUUGUUACCAGCUCCCUUGGCUUGUGGUUACAUUACUCACUUUAAUUUCCCCCUCCAUCUUCAAGUCUCCCUUUUUUUGUGUGUAUCUCUUAUAAAGACACUUCUCAUUGGAUUAGGUUUCAACCAGAUAAUCUAGGAUGGUUUUAUCUCAUGGUCUUUAACUUAAUUAUAUCUGAAAAGUCCUUUUUUCCAAAUAAAGGAAUAUUCACACUUUCCGGGGUUUAGAUGUGGAGACAGCUUUUGGUAGGCUGCUGUUCAACCGACUACAAGCAGCUUCUUGUAUUUGUUUAAAUAUGGAAAAUUUCUGAAAGGACAUGUAAGAAAUAACUGAAGGUUGGAUUUUUUUCCCCUUCCACUGAAAGGUGAGAGUAGCAUGGAAAAGAAAAAUUUCUUUGUAUACAUUAAUUUAUUGUCUGAAUUUUAUUUUUCACUACGCUUAAGUUUUUACAUUUGCAAUGAAAUGUAAUCUAAAUCUUAAAACAGUUACAAAAAUUACCUGAUUUGAUGUUAAAUCAUUUAAGAAUUUCAACUAUGCUGAAAUCCUAAUGCCCAAUGUGAUAGUUUUAGGAGGUGAGACUUUUGGGAGGCGAGUAGGUCAUGAGGCUGGAGCUCUUAUGAAUGGGAUUAGUGCACUUUUAAAAUAGAACCCACAUUGCUUCCUAAUCCCUUAUGUCAUGUGAAGAUACAACAUAAAGUGCCCAGAAUAGGGCACUCAUCUGACAUGCUGGCACCCUGAUCUUGGAUUUUCAGCCUCCACUACCGUGACAAAUAAAUUCCUGUUGUUUGUAAGCCACCCUAUGUGUGGUAUUUUGGUAAGGCAGCCCCAAGGGACUAAGACACCCCUUAUAUGAACAAACUAAGUAAAAUAGAGGCAGAGUAGCCGAGGGGUUUUGUUAAGGCUAACAUACCCUAAGACAAAGACAAUCUAGAUAUGUUGAGUUUUACUGAAUAAAUACACUCUUAUCAUUGGGGGGUAAAAAAAAAAAAGGAAAUACUAAUUCCAGAGGAUCAUAUUAUUUAAAUAUAUUUCCAUCUUAGCUCCUUAAAUAUUAGAACUCUAAAACACAUUCAUACUCUAUCAAAAAUAUCAGUGUUUUGGCAUCACAAAGGAGAGCAGUCAUUCUCCCACCUUAGUUCACUACAGAGUCACUGCUCUGGCCCCUUGUACCUUAGGGUAUCCACCACUGGAGAUGUACUGUAACUGUGGAAUUCUAAGAGUUGCUGUGGAGCAGCAGGAAGUACUUCUAGUAUCAUCUGGGGUGAUGAAAGUGAUUUGCAGAAUGACUUUAAUUAAUUUGGUGGAAAUGACUAGCUCUUGAACACAUAUGAUAUUUGUUAACUCCCAGACAUAACCAAUGUAGUUUUUUUCUCAGAAACAGGAGGUCUUCUAAGAGAAUGAGCUAAUAAGUUUUCAUGAUUAAUUAUAUUGUUGACUGGUUAUAUUUUGCUAAAACAGAUUGAAAAUAUUUUUUCUGCAUUUUAUAUACUUUGCAUAUGUACAAUUAAUUAAAAGAAAAUAAUACCAAUUAUUAUGUGCCUGCUUCCUAAGAGAAAUAAAUGGUUCCCCACUAUCAACUCAUUAUAUAUAGAUAAAUUUUUAGAGCAGUUUUAUAUUCAUAGCAAAAUUGAGAAGAGCUUACUGAGAUUAUCCAUAUAUACCUGCCACCACACAUGCAUAGCCUCCCCCAUUAUCAACAUCCUCCACCAGAGUGAUAUAUUUGUUAAAAUUGAUGAACCCCUAUUGAAACAUCACCCGGGGCGCCUGGGUGGCGCAGUCGGUUAAGCGUCCGACUUCAGCCAGGUCACGAUCUCAUGGUCCAUGAGUUCGAGCCCCGCGUCAGGCUCUGGGCUGAUGGCUCAGAGCCUGGAGCCUGUUUCCAAUUCUGUCUCCCUCUCUCUCUGCCCCUCCCCAAUUCAUGCUCUGUCUCUCUCUGUCCCAAAAAUAAAUAAACGUUGAAAAAAAAAAAAAACUUUAAGAAACAUAUCACCCAAAGCCCAUAGUUUACCUUAAGGUUCACUCUUGGUGCUGUACAUUCUAUGGAUUUUGACAAAUGUAAAAUAAUGUAUAUCCACAUACCAUAGUUUCACUGCCCUAGAAAUCCUCUGUACUCUGCUUAUUCAUUCCUCCUGCCUCCUUAAUCGCUGGCAAUCACAGAUCUUUGUAUUAUCUCCAUAAUUUUGCCUUUCAAAGAAUGUCAUAAACUUGGAAUCAAGACAGUUCUUACCUUCUACAGACCGACUUCUUUCACUUAGUAAUACAUAUUGAAGUUUCCUCCAUGCCUUUUCAUGACUUAAUACCUCAUUUCUUUUUAGUGCUAAAUAAUAUUUCAUUGUUUGGAUGUACCACAGUUUGUCCAUUCACCUACAGAAGGACAUCUUGGUUGCCUUUAAGUUUGGACAAUUAUGAAUAAACAUCCAUGUGCAGGUUUAAUUUUCAGAUGGUUGUGGUAAAUAACAAAGAGCAUGAUUACUGAAUUGUAUUUUAAGAGUAUGUUUACUUUUGUCAGAGACUGCCAAAAUGUCUUCCAAAGUGUUUGUACCAUUUUGCAUUCCUGCCAGCAAUGAAUGAGAAUUUCUGUUGUUCCAUACCUUCACUAGUGUGUGGUGUGGUUUCUGUUCUGGGUUUUGGUCAUUCUACAAGUUGUGUAGUCAUAUCUUGAAUUGUUUUAAUUUCCAUUUCCCAAACACCAAAUGAUGUAUAUCUUUCAUGUCCUUAUUUGCCAUUCAAGUAUCUUUGGUAAGGUGACCAUGGCUUGCCCUUUGACAUCAUUUCCCUGAUGAAUCUAAGAGGAGUUAUGUAUUUUUCAGUCUGUUCAACUUUUUACUUCUUAGAAUAGAAUGGGAACUUGCCAGCUUCUUACAUGAUUGGAAAACAGAAAAUUGUAUUUUUUUUUUUAUUUUAGUGUAAAUUUUUAUUCCUUUCAGGGUCUAGCCUUCUGCUUAUUUGUAUUAAACUGUAACUAAAGUAAAGGUUACACUGUAUAGGGAAUGCCGAUUCUAUGAGUAAAUAAUUAUACAAUUCCAGACCUAUUUUUAAUUGACAACACUACACUAAUUGGCUGGGUAUGGGCCACACGCUUAUCUGUGAACCAGAGUAUAGUACUCUCUGGCCAGUUUGGGCCAUGUGCCCGGUGCUAUUGUGGUGGAUACAGAGGAAAUAGGGCUAUAGGCCACUGGGUGGGGAAAACAAAAGAGUCUGGGCUGACUAAACUUAAUAUCACUACAGUUAAAAUAAAUAAAUCAAUCAAGGGUCCUUUACCAAGGUAAAUAUCAAACAGACCCUGUGAUUUCAAAACUAUAAAAACUAUUCUAUUCAUAAACAAAGUGAAUAUAGCAGCACAAUAAUGUGUGAAAAAUAAAAGCUAAAAAAAAAAAAAAAACUUGACAUAUAGGAAGAAUAUGUGAUUUUGUUAUGUGACUCUAGAUACUUAAAUUAGCAGCUUUCAUUUUUGGAGAAGCUGUUUAAUUUUCCCCAGUCUUAAGGGAAUCUAAGAAUAGAAAUGAAAUAUAAAAGGACAAAAUUAAGUGAACACAUCAUGAUUACAAUACUGAAGUGCCAGCUGUAACCCCAUAUACUCAUGCAUUAGUUCAUUUCCCUUUGAAGCUUUCUGUACACCCUGCUUUCGUCUGUUAUCACUUUUGAUGACAUCCUCAUUCACUUUUCCCCAGCUGCUCUGUGCAUGUGUAAUAAUUUCGUAUCUUGGGAGUAAAGAUUGAUCUUUUAAAGUCAAAGAAUAAUUAUUACUUUAAGCAGCCCUCCUUUUUUAGUGAGAAUCCUUUGGGGUCAGUCUAGCUUCUAGCCUUUAUGUGAAUGAGAACAACAUUGUACUUAUUGGUGCUGAAAUUCUGUAAGUUGCAGUGAGGUUUUGGAUUCCAUUUGUUCCUUCUGCCCUCACUUCUUCUGCUCUUCUAUGUAGAGCUCUUUCUUCUACACAUUAACUUGAGUAUGUGGCGGUAAGAUACCACAUAUGACAUUAAAACUGCACCUAAUGUGAUCUAUAAUUUUUUUUAUCCUACAUGAGCUGAAAAUUUGACUUCUAAAAACAAAAUUAUGCCUUUCAGGUAACACUGACCAAUUUCUUAAAGCUUAUUUAUUUUUUAAGAAUAUUUAUAUUUUUUUUUAAUUUUUUUUUUCAACGUUUAUUUAUUUUUGGGACAGAGAGAGACAGAGCAUGAAUGGGGGAGGGGCAGAGAGAGAGGGAGACACAGAAUCAGAAACAGGCUCCAGGCUCUGAGCCAUCAGCCCAGAGCCUGACGUGGGGCUCGAACUCCCGGACCGCGAGAUCGUGACCUGGCUGAAGUCGGACGCUUAACCGACUGCGCCACCCAGGCGCCCCCAAGAAUAUUUAUAUUUUAAAAAUACUAUUCUUAAAUAUUAUUCUUCCUUGUCAAGAUAUUGGCAGAGUUUUUGGAAAUGCUGAAGAUUUUUUUCUUUUGAAUCCUAUAGUUUUUAUCAAUAAUAGGAAAUAUUAGUUAAGGUUGGUUCAAGAUCCUUUUUAUAUACGUAUGUAAUUUUAAAUACAGCUAUUUGAAAAACCAGAUAAGCACUACAGUUUGUGAUUUUUUCUCCAUAAAAAUGUCUAAUUUCAGUGAAAAAGUAUUUUUUAACUCAACAGCAGCAAUACUCUUGGUAAACAAAUAUUAUUUGAUUAAAUAUUUUAAAUUAUUUACCUGCAUUGUGUUAUCAGUAUUAUAAAAUUCUUGGAAAAUCCUUUAUGUCAGCUCAACUGAGAGACCUCUUCUAAUAAGCUAUGAAUAAAUGAAGUCUCUGCCAUGGAUAUAAGGUUUCCUAAAAUUCUGAGCUGCCAUUAGAUAAUGAAAGGAAUGACUGGAAGAGAGAAGGAACAAAGUUUUCUGCCUAUUGGUAGGAUGUGCCAAAAUCAAUCAACAAGUGGGAUUGAAAACAAACAAACCAACAGACAAACAGCAAUUACAUAUGCUUCCUCCAAACCCAGCAAUGAGAUUCUGAUAUAAAGGUCCCAUACCUUGAAAAUCACUGUCUCAAUGAGCCACUUUACUGCUGGGAAUGUAUAUUUCAUUCCUCAUGUUGUUGAGAUGAUGAAAAAUUUGAGAACAACUAAGAAAAUCAGGAAAAUAUAUUAAACCCAACUAGCUGUUUAAUGGUUAGUAACUAAAACACUCAGGUAGAUUUUUUUUUCUUUUUUCACUACAUAUUUUCUUGUGCUACAGAGUAGUCUGUAUUCACACUUGCUAUUCAUUUUAAAUUAUAUACAUUAAUGUUUUCACAACAAAUAUCUAAGAAUGAAUUAUCUUUCUUAGAAUUUUAAACAUUUUAAGUUAUCUUCUUAACAGAGUAUGCCAUACUGAUUACAGAAUGAUUUAUUUGCUCAAAACUAGUCUCCAGUGUAGAUGAUAAAUUUAAGGGGUCUCAAGAUCGUGUGUGCUUUAUGUUCCAACCUCAACACUGUGUUUAGUACAUUAGGCACUCAGUGAAAUUUUUAAAUCAAAGAAGAUGUUGAUUGGUGGAAAGAGAGAACUUCAUAAUUUGUUUGGAAUUUACUUACAUUCGAAAUAAUCACUUAUUAUGUAGACCUUAGGAUCAUUAUCAAAAGGAUGGCUUAACCUAACAAUAUUUUUUAAAACAGACAUAUAGGAGGGGGGAUAGCUAUAUCCCCCUAGGGGAUAACUAUUAAAUGGAAAUAGUAUGAGGAUAAUACCCAAAGAUCUUAUAUAACACUGAUAACAAAUAAAAUGCAUAUAGAAGAUUUUUAAAAUAUGUAUUAAGCCAAUAAUCUGUUAUGAUGAAAAGCCUCUUCUCCAGAAAUACUUUCUACCAGUUUACAGAAAUGUAUUAUUUCCUUCAAACUGCAGUUGUAUUUGUGGAAAAGUAAAACACUAAGGCCAUAAUCCUUACCUGGUAGAAGUAACCUGUAAAUACUUUAAAACAGUCAAAGAUCAUAUUAGUUAAAAGAUGAGAAAAUCUGAAACCAUUUUAUUAAACAUUAUCAUCAUUUGUUAUCACAAAUUGUUUUUCAGGGAAAAUGACCAGAAGCCUGCUGCUAAGUCAAGGAAGGACUGUUUCUAUCAUCAGAAUGGCAGUAAACAAGCAAUACAAAAUUACAGUUGUGUAAACAAGCUAAAGAUUAAUGGUUCCCACACUGUUUUCCUUUCAUUGGCCCCUUUGGUAGGUCAAAUGACCCUGUAGACCACCUACGCACAGUCACACCACACACGGACAGUAGCUCAAGUUUUCUCACUCCCUCACCCCUCAGCUUGAUUUUUAUCAUUUAAUGUUACAGGGCAAUGAAAAAUAGAGGAAUCAAUUAAUGGAAAGAAGGAAAGAAAAAAUCCAGCAUCCUGACAUGUGUUCUGUUGCAAGUUGCUAAUCAGAUACCUAACUUGUGUAAUGCUUCAACCUUAGUUCUCAAAUCACUAAAUGGAGACUACAGAAACACUAACACUAAUGAUACUACUUCUCCAAAUGCCAUUGAAUUUUUCCUUGCAAAUCAAUGACGUUGAUUCAUACCAAUAAAAUGAUACA
rnacentral:lncRNA from 1 species